rnacentral:lncRNA from 1 species
AUAAAAGCAAAGCAAGACAUGAGGGCGCUGGAGGAAGUUGGUCCGGCUCCGGCUAGCCAGCCAGCGCCAUUUUAUACUACUGUUACUGUUAUGUUGAUCUGUCCUAUGAAUUUGGAUGCUUGGUACUCCAUUUUACUACUGCUCUGUUCCGUGAUCUUCCACUAAUCUUCUACUGUACGUGAUUGUGGAACCCCGUCGUUUGGCGCGAUCCUAUUGUGUGUGUGGAAUCCUAAUGCUGAUCUUUAUAAGAUCUUUAGCAGAUGUUGAUCUCUUCUCUGUAGUUGCCUACCUAGCUAGCUAGCUCUCGAUCUUUAGCAGAUGUUGAUCUCCUAUGUAUGUGUGGAAACCUAAUUCAGGUAUUUUCAUGCUGUUUGAGAUGAGAAAAAUCUUAAUGUGCUCUCUGGGAGAAGGGAAGAGAAAGAGUAUGGAUUUCUCUCAUGCGUCAGGGAAAAGAAAAGUGUGCAUAGUCGCGGGUAUUCAGGUAUGUACGCACAUGAGCUUGCCGGCAGGCCGAGACAUCCGAAUACAUACGUACAAAGCUAGACUACUACAUCUAGCCUAUGUGCAUGUGGCCAGGACGUGUUACUUGCACCAAGAUUUUCAUGCACGUGCAUGUGCACGUACGUGGGCAGCUUGCCAUGCAUGCUUGUGCCACGCUAAAUGAAUCUUGCCUUUGUAUGUAUUAGAUCGGGAACGCGCCUUGGCGCAUGGUGCCUGGCUGAACGUGUUGUCCCAGCAUUUAAACAAAGCACGAUACUGUUGCUAGUUGGUAUGGGAUGUCAAAGUCAUGGCAUAAGGCAAGGCAAUCACAUUUUUCAAAUGCAAAGAAAACACGAGGAAUUUUGUCAGUACAAAAAUUCAUCUGGAAGUUCAUAGGAAAUGGAAAUAUAUACUUGUGCCAAAAGCGAGCAAGGUCGAUCAAUCCACAUCAAGUUUAGAUAGAUAGUGUACUUUUCAUACAAGAAAAGAAAGCCACAACAGCAGUGUGAGACAAAGAACAUAUAUAGUUCCACAAAAGAAUAUUUUUGGAUACAUUCACCUGAUCGUCUUGACAUUCGACCUUUUAUACGCCACAUCACAUGAACCUGCUAUGAGUAGUUUGUUUUGUCACUUGAAACAGAGAGUUAUGAACCUUGAAACAAACUUUUCAAAGUUUGUAUUAUCAAUAACGGCUACCUACACGUGGUGUCGAGACCGAAGACACAUAAGAGAUUUCUUUCAACCUUUGACCAACCCCAUAGUUAUUGUCGCUCUUCCGUCCACACCAUUCAGCAGACAGACUUGCCCCAUGGCACAUCCAUCACCCUGCCAACAUGACACAAUCCAGGUGACUUGCCACAUGGCGCAUCCAUCACCCUCCUUUCAUCAAACCAUGUUCUGUUAAAAGGAUAAAUUGGUUAGCAGUCAUACAGUCCUAUAACCCAUCAUACAAAUUACCUAAAUAGUGAUACCUUUGUGCUCAAUGAACAAUGCAGAAGACAUGAACAAUACAUGUGUUGGUUAAUAAUAAAAGGUGUGCUACCAACACACUUGAAAGGCAGAAGAUGUGAACAAUACAUAACAGGCCUUGAAAUAAAUCCAUUUAAGAAAAUUAUGACUACAAUUGAAUGGACAGAUUUAAUCUGCUCCCACAUGUAUGUAACCGUAACAUGUAGCUUGUAUGGAGAAGAAAAGAAAGCAGACCACAUGAUCUGAAGCAAAUGAACUGAAGAAAGCAGGUCACAUGAUCAUAUUCAGAGCACAAAUUAACAGAAAAGUAGGAAAGAUAGCAGAACAUAUGUUAGUAUGCUACAGAUCUGCGACCUCAAAACAACCCAUAAGAUGGUACUAAACAUGUUAGGACCCUCUUUUCCUUUUCUAAUUUUAUCCUUCCCCAACCAUGGCUUGAGGAUACCAUGGUUUUACAUGUACUUGAGGAUGCCUGUCAUUAUCUAAACUGAUCAUGUUUAAAGUCCCUAUCUGAUGUAGACUAAGCAGGAGAACACUGUAUGAACUUUACUACUGAUGAUAAGGUAUCAUGUACGAACUUUAAUGUUCUAAAGCCGAGAAUAUAACGUAUCAUGUAUGAACUUUAAUACUGAUGAUAUAUAGUGAAAACGAACAUGUGCGAGAUUACUGAAUAACCUGUCAAGAAUUGAUAUUUGCACAGAAAUAUGGAUUGAGAAAUCUGAAACCUGAGCAAGAAUGGUUUAACUACAAAUAUAUUCAAUCCUUAUUUGAAUUUAUGGCAAGUCAAGAAUCUAUUAUGGCAAAUCUUAGCAUCGUAUCCUUUUCUGUGAGCACUCAUUAAUUGGAAUAAUGAAAAGGAGGUGCACUUAAUCCAAAUCCACAUGAAUGUUUGCCUUUGUAUGAUGGUAGAGCCUUAAAUUCGCAAACUUAAAAUACGAAAGGAUGAAACAAUUAGCACCAAGAAUUGGUCAGGUUGUACAAUGACAUUUUUCGAAACCAAAUGCUAACACAAAGUCAAUUACUGCAUAAAAGAGAGAUAGCUUCUAGAAAUCAUACACGCCAAUUUCACGGUUCAGUAGAAAAGAAACACUACAAAGUAAAAAAGCAAGGAGCAAGCAUUCAGUGCAGAAAAAAGACAAUAAAAAUUGCAGGGUAAGAGGCUCACCUUGUUGCUGUAGGUUGACUUUGCUUGGGGAGGUAGUAGCUGCAGGAUCGUAGGAGGAGGCUGAAGCGAGCUCGAGUCGGUCGGUGGCAGCCGGCCACAAUAUUUUGUCGUUUUCAUGCCUGGAACACUACAACAUCAUGUGAAUGUAAAUGAAAAGUAACAUUUGUGACAGUGGUGACCUGCAAGCCACGAUGAUGAGAGGAGAAACAGUCUAGGCAACGACCUCUCCCUACUUGCGUCGCUGCUCCAAUCCAAGACAUAAACAAACCUGGCAAGAGAUCCAAAACAUGAAAUGAGCUCUCCGUCAAAUCAUGAAACAAGAGAAGCAGCCCCAGUAGGUCUACAGGUGCAGCGGCAAGAAGAUUUUAUGCAUAUGCAGACACACCAGAUAUCCCUGCAUUACGAAAAAAUAGUGGUUAAUGGAUGGACAUAUUACCAGCCUACCAGACAACAUAUAUCUUUUUUCAGUUUGACAUAGAAGUACAUUUCUAGAGAAGAGAGAUGUUCUAUAUACUACCUCUAGAGCUCACCAAGUAUAGCGAUGAUAGUCUGGGUCCGGGACGACCGUUUCUCUGGUGGUCUUCUCUGUUGUAUCUCUCCCAAACUGUGAAGAAGGGAAGGACAAAAUAGGUUACGAGUACAAGAUUGAAAGUAGAGUAUACUACGGAGGUAGUACUUCACAAAGAUGUUUGUGAGCUAACGAGAGAUACUAUUGGUGUGGUUCGCUGGUGCUUCCGGCCAUGUCUCCUCGUACCAGCAAAACAAGAAAAGCCUAAAUGUCCCCUUCCUUGGAACCUAGCUAGACUAAAAGCAACAAAACACAAAUACUCCACCAAGGGAGAAGCACCAAUUGCAGGCACUACCAGACCAGACAAAGAGGAAAGACCUUUGGCCUUUACCAGAUGCAGGACAAACAACAAAUGGCCCAUGCUGGCCAAACACACAACACUUGGCCAUGCCGCCGUAUACCUAGCACUCUAAUACGAGAGGACAAAAGGAGGAGAAGAAGAGGGGUUAACCUCAGAUCCAUGAACGAAGACGCAACCGGGUCAGAUCAAAGGAGGCAUCGGCAACACCCGACGAAUCUGCGAGGAAAACAAGGGGAAAUCAGAGGUGAGGAGAAGCUAGCAGCCAACAAGAGCACAUACAUACACAUAUACCUGCAAAUCGAUGACCACAACAGCAGAUCGACAGAGACCUGCAUGCAAACAAGAUCACAAAUCAACUAAGAACAACGUGGAAAACUAACACGCGAAGAGGAAAGGCAGCUCACCUCGACCGACCCCACCUUGCUUCGCCGCUCCCUCCUGCGCGCGUCCUACCUCACUCACGAGGGCCGGCGCCGAGCCGCGCUUUUCCUGAUGAGCACCAAGGGGGCGUGGAGGAGGAAACGGCCCGACAACGCGAGGGCGAGCAGAGGCGGAGGCGGCGGCGCGAGGGCGAGCAGAGGCAGAGGCGGUGGCGGCGGCGCGAGGGCAAGCAGAGGCGGAGGCGGCGGCGCGAGGAUGAGCAGAGGCGGAGGCGAGAGGGCGAGCGUGCGAGCGUGGGUUCACAGAGGAGAUCGAGACAGGGAGAGGAGGAGGUGGGAACCGGACGAAUGAGAGGACGAAAGGAUGGGCCGCCACCCUCCCCCACCCCAUAGCCGCACGACACGCAUCCCCUGGAAGCGAAAAAGACCAAAAUACCCUUGGCGGGGGCAGGAUAUAACGUGCGGUGGCAACGAGAUCUUUUACCGCUGGAGCGUGCCGACGGGCUGCCCGGACGUGCCAUAGCCACAGAGAAUGUGUCACGCCCAAUAUGCGACCCUAUCCAAAAGGAACUCGAACGUCCCACCAAGGAUAGACCCGCAUAUUGAAACGCUUUUGCAAGGUGGAUAUCAUUACAUCAACAUUACAUAAUAGAUGGGGAUACAUACAUAAGGCAUACAAUGCCACACGAAUACAACAUCACAAUACAAAAGAGCACCAUCCGACUACGGAUGAAAUACAAACUCAAACGACAUCCACCCUGCUAGCCCAGGCUACUGACCUGGAACCUAUCCACUGAUCGAACAAGAAGCAGAAGAAGAACUCGAAAACAAGCAAAUAUCGCUCUCGCGUCAUGAUCAUCGCAUAACCUGUAUCUGCAAUUGUUGUUGUAGUAAUCUGUGAGCCACGAGGACUCAGCAAUCCCAUUAUCAUGGGUAUUAAGACUAGCAAAGCUUAAAAGGAAAGGAAGGAGUAAAGUGGUGAGGUUGCAGCAGCGACUAAGCAUAUAUGGUGGCUAACAUAUGCAAAUAAGAGCGAGAAGAGAGCAAAAGAAACGGUCGUGAAACUAGCAAUGAUCAAGAAGUGAUCAUGAACUCCUACUUACGUCAAACAUAACCCAGAAACCGUGUUCACUUCCCGGACUCCGCCGAAAAGAGACCAUCACGGCUACACACACGGUUGAUGCGUUUUAAUUCGGAUCUGGUGUCAAGUUAUCUACAACCGGACAUUAACAAAUUCCCAUCUGCCUAUAACCGCAGGCACGGCUUUCGAAAGAUUAUAGCCUGCAGGGGUGUCCCAACUUAGCCCAUGAUAAGCUCUCGCGAUCAACGAAGGAUAUACCUUCUCCCAGGAAGACCCGAUCAGACUCGGAAUCCCGGUUUACAAGACUUUUCGACAAUGGUAAAACAAAACCAGCAAAGCCGCCCGAUGCGCCGACAAAUCCCGAUAGGAGCUGCACAUAUCUCGUUCUCAGGGAAACACCGGAUGAGACUAGCUACGAGUAAAACCAACCCUCAAGUUGCCCCGAGGUGGCCCCGCAGGCAGCUCAGUUCGGACCAACACUUAGACAAGCACUGGCCCGGGGGGGCUAAAAUAAAGAUGACCCUCGGGUUGGCCGACCCAAGGGAAAGGUAUCGGUGGUGGUGAAGCAAAUGGUAAAACCAAGGUUGGGCCUUGCUGGAGGAGUUUUAUUCAAAGCGAACUAUCAAGGGGGUCCCAUAAAUCACCCAACCGCGUAAGGAACGCAAAAUCCGGGAACAUAACACCGGUAUGACGGAAACUAGGGCGGCAAGAGUGGAACAAAACACCAGACAUAAGGCCGAGUCUUCCACCCUUUACCAAGUAUAUAGAUGCAUUAAUAAUAUAAGAGAUAUUGUGAUAUCCCCAACCAAAAUCCUGUCCACCAUGGAGCAAUCUUCAACUUCACCUGCAACUAGCAACGCUAUAAGAGGGCCGAGCAAAGCGGUAACAUAGCGAAGCAACGGUUUGCAUAGGAAAGGUGUCAAAGGUUAGAGGUUCAUGGCAAUAUGGGAGGCUUGAUGAGCAAAAGAUAGGUAACGCAGCAUAGCGAUAGAACGAAGCAACUAGCAUAGCAAUGAUAGUAGUGAGAUCCAGGGUAGCGGUCAUCUUGCCUGAAAUCCCGCAAGGAAGAAGAACGAGUCCAUGAAGAAGAUGAAGCCACGAAGACGAACCAAGCAUAGACGAACGAAUCCUCACGAUCGCAACGAAACGGGAACUAUCGAGAAGAAGCACACAACAUAGUAAACACACCACACAUAUACAAGAGAUGAUGCACAAACAAGUAUGAUGCAUGACAAGGCUACAUGAAGCUACUCAUGGCAAGAGAUGAUGCAAACAAGAGCAACACAUCAAGGCAAGUUUAAAUGAUGCCGGGAACAACAUAUAACAAUUCCGGUAAGUCCUCAUAUGCAUAUUUCGAAAUUGGUCCAUAUCUGAAUAAAUCUUAUGUUCAAGUUGUUAAACAGCAAGUUAAGAUGCACAAAGAUGAUCUACACGAGAUUCUAGUCAAGUUACAUAUAAAGUUCAUUUAGUUCGGAGCUACGACCUAGAAGAUAUGAGCAAAACAAGUUAAACAUGGCAUUGAUGCAAAAUGCAUACAAACAUUAAGCAAACACCUCAAAACAUGGAUGCAACAUGAUAAUAUGAAGCUACAUGCAAUUCUAAGCAAGUUUCAUAUAGAGCACACUCAAAACGGAGCAACGGUUCAACACACACACACUAUACGUCAUAGCAACAAUCUGUCCAAAACAGCAACUAGGCAUAUUGCAAGCAUCAAAACAACAUGCUACAAUACCCCAACAUGAGAACAAAAGGCAUGGACAUAAUGUACAGGUAAAGCAUAACAAAACAUGAACACUGAGCUAUCUCCAGAAAUCACUAUAACAUGCUCAAACACACAUGGCAAGAUUGCAAAUAAUAACAGUUCAGACUUUGCAGAAAAUAACAUCAGGUUGCAAUGUUUAGAGCUAUUAAACAACAUGUUACAGGAACUUAUCAUGGCAAACAAAGGCAUGGCAUGAAUCUACUAAAUGUAUAGAACAAAAGUCCCUAACUGACCAUGAGCCAAAAAGGAUCAGAAAAUAUGAUGCCACCCACGUAAACAUGGCAAGUUAUAAUACAGAUUCAUACAUGGCAGAAACAGAAUUAUGAAGGCAUGUUGAUGAGCUUGUGCAACUCUCUACAGGGUAAAACAUGGCAUGGCAAGGCAACCAACAGUAAGAAGACAUGAUUAUGAAGCUAAGAAUGGCAAUAGCAAGUCCAUAGGGUGCAUGGAACACUAGCAACAAUCAUGGCAACAACUGAACUCAAUGUUAACAGGCUGACGGCAACAUUAUUUAGCAACUUUGGAGCAAGAUAUGAACAACUACAACAAGCUAUAAAUGCAACCAGGGGCAUGAAUGGAUAGAGCAUGACAUGUAGAACAAAACACAAUUAGUGAACAUCUCCAGAUUAUGCAUAGAAUGACUAGUAGCAGCAGGUUUACAUAGCAUCACGAAAUAACAGAUUCAGCCUAGCAAAACAGUAACAGCAAGUACCCUACUUAACAAGCUUGAAUCACUCACCACAAGUCAUUGCAUGACAAGAUAAGUAUAGCAUCAGCAAGAAGACAUGUUUAUGAAACAAACCAAGUCAAGAACAAGUCCAUAGUAUGCAAGGAUCAACUACAACAACCUUGGAAAAAUUGAAUAACAUGUAAACAAUCCGCCAGGAAACAUUUUGGGGCAAAAGUAGAGCACGAAAAUGACAUGAUAGGCUACUCCAUAAUUGCAAAUAGGGGCAUGAGCGGCUAGAUAAUAACCAUAUGUUCAAAACAUCCUUAUUGAAGUAUCUCAAAAUAUGCAUGGAUCUCUCUAUAGCAUCAGGUUUACAUGGCAUCAAAAUAACAGCAGAACAGGGACUAAAAUCAGCAAUAUCACGAAGCCUAGUUUGCAUGCUUGUGCUAUUCAUCACAUUGAUCACAAAAAUACAUGGUAAGCACCUCUGUAAAGAUGGCAUGGUAUAGUUCAAAACACAUGUAGACAUCAACCUCAUAGGAUGCACACAUCAAACAUGGCAAAAAUGACAAAUGAGUAUGUUAUAACAGUUUCAGCAGAUUAACAUCAUGAAGCACUCUCGCAACGAUGAUUCAGGUAUCAAGAUGAGCUCAAAUGAACAUGAUGCAAUGGAAUGAGAUGAAGUACUCCUUAAGACGAACAAUUUGACCUAUUACAUGCGCAANNNNNNNNNNNNNNNNNNNNNNNNNNNNNNNNNNNNNNNNNNNNNNNNNNNNNNNNNNNNNNNNNNNNNNNNNNNNNNNNNNNNNNNNNNNNNNNNNNNNNNNNNNNNNNNNNNNNNNNNNNNNNNNNNNNNNNNNNNNNNNNNNNNNNNNNNNNNNNNNNNNNNNNNNNNNNNNNNNNNNNNNNNNNNNNNNNNNNNNNNNNNNNNNNNNNNNNNNNNNNNNNNNNNNNNNNNNNNNNNNNNNNNNNNNNNNNNNNNNNNNNNNNNNNNNNNNNNNNNNNNNNNNNNNNNNNNNNNNNNNNNNNNNNNNNNNNNNNNNNNNNNNNNNNNNNNNNNNNNNNNNNNNNNNNNNNNNNNNNNNNNNNNNNNNNNNNNNNNNNNNNNNNNNNNNNNNNNNNNNNNNNNNNNNNNNNNNNNNNNNNNNNNNNNNNNNNNNNNNNNNNNNNNNNNNNNNNNNNNNNNNNNNNNNNNNNNNNNNNNNNNNNNNNNNNNNNNNNNNNNNNNNNNNNNNNNNNNNNNNNNNNNNNNNNNNNNNNNNNNNNNNNNNNNNNNNNNNNNNNNNNNNNNNNNNNNNNNNNNNNNNNNNNNNNNNNNNNNNNNNNNNNNNNNNNNNNNNNNNNNNNNNNNNNNGGCCAGCGAUGGCGGAGAGGCGGGGCGGCGGCGCGCGGGCUCAUGCAGGCCGGAUCUGGGCCCCGCGGGCCGCGCGGUGGAGACGGGGGCGGGGGCGAAUCGGAAGGCGGCACGUGGCGGCGGCGAGGGGGCUGGAAAUGUCCGGCGGCGGAGCGGACAUGUCCGGUGCGGUGAGGGAGGAGACGGCUAGGGUUUCGGGGGGGAUUUGAUCCGCGAAUUUGGACGGGGAGGGCAUAUUUAUAGAUUUUGGGAGCUAGGAGAGUCCAAAUGAGGAGCGGUUUUCGGCCACGCGAUCGUGAUCAAACGACCGAGAGCAUGGAGGGGAGUUAGAUGGGUUUUGGGCCAGUUUGGAGGGGUGUUGGGCUGCAAAGAGAAAGGGGGUUUUGGGUUACGCGGUUAACCGUUGGAGUAUCAAACAGACUCCAAAUGGCAUGAAACUUGACAGGCGGUCUACCGGUGGUGUACCAAGGCCACUUGGCAAGCCUCGGGAUAUUCCGAGAAAGUUUAACACCCACUCACAACAAGAGACAAAAGGGGAACGCCGGAGGGCAUAGGAGUGCCGGGUUGCAAAACAGACAACGGGGAAAAGGCUUGGAUGCAUGAGACGAACACGUAUGCAAUGCAAUUCAAUGCACAUGAUGACAUGAUAAAAUGCAACACGCAAGCAAAUGACAUGGCAAAGAAGGUGAAAAACUGGCAGACACCUGGCGCAUGGAAUUCGGGGCGUUACAACACUCCUCCACUAACAAGAGAUCUCGUCCUGAGAUCUUAGGACCGAGACGGAAGGGAAAAAGGAUAUGGUGAAACAAGAACUCAAGAGAAGAAGCAAAGAAUCGCGAGCACACGAGAAGAAGAGAUGAAUGACGAGAAUGACGAGAAUCGAAAGCUCACGGAAUCAGAUCGACUAAGAAACCACUCCGGUUAAAACGAGAUAAGAAACGAAUAAGACUGAAAGGAUUUAGGCAGCACUCCGGCUGAAAAUGGAAGGAAAAGAACACGAGCUUGAGAGGACGGAAUGAUACUUGAUGAAGACAUGACACAAAAACUCCGAAAAGAAUUAAAAGAGUUGAAUGAAAAGAACGGAGAAGAAAAUGACAACUUGUCCCACGAAUGAAAUAGAAAGCAACCUUAGAAGAAAAGAUUGAAUGGAGUUGUUGAGAAAAUUCAACAACGAAAAGAAUAAGCUUGUCAUGGACUUAUGGAUAACAUCUCAGAAAUUAUGAGGUGAUAACCAGCCGCAAACAGAAAUGAUUGGAUAGCUGAGAAGAACGAAGAAAUGCAAAACUCCACUUCAAAAGAAUACGGAGAAUUAAUUGCACUUGAGAUGCAAGAAGGAAGAUACUAGAAUUUCUCCAACAAAGAACCUUGAUGAACUCUUGAAGAAUGAGUUAACUCAUGAAGAACCACCAUAAAGAACUCUGGUAACAAAAGNNNNNNNNNNNNNNNNNNNNNNNNNNNNNNNNNNNNNNNNNNNNNNNNNNNNNNNNNNNNNNNNNNNNNNNNNNNNNNNNNNNNNNNNNNNNNNNNNNNNNNNNNNNNNNNNNNNNNNNNNNNNNNNNNNNNNNNNNNNNNNNNNNNNNNNNNNNNNNNNNNNNNNNNNNNNNNNNNNNNNNNNNNNNNNNNNNNNNNNNNNNNNNNNNNNNNNNNNNNNNNNNNNNNNNNNNNNNNNNNNNNNNNNNNNNNNNNNNNNNNNNNNNNNNNNNNNNNNNNNNNNNNNNNNNNNNNNNNNNNNNNNNNNNNNNNNNNNNNNNNNNNNNNNNNNNNNNNNNNNNNNNNNNNNNNNNNNNNNNNNNNNNNNNNNNNNNNNNNNNNNNNNNNNNNNNNNNNNNNNNNNNNNNNNNNNNNNNNNNNNNNNNNNNNNNNNNNNNNNNNNNNNNNNNNNNNNNNNNNNNNNNNNNNNNNNNNNNNNNNNNNNNNNNNNNNNNNNNNNNNNNNNNNNNNNNNNNNNNNNNNNNNNNNNNNNNNNNNNNNNNNNNNNNNNNNNNNNNNNNNNNNNNNNNNNNNNNNNNNNNNNNNNNNNNNNNNNNNNNNNNNNNNNNNNNNNNNNNNNNNNNNNNNNNNNNNNNNNNNNNNNNNNNNNNNNNNNNNNNNNNNNNNNNNNNNNNNNNNNNNNNNNNNNNNNNNNNNNNNNNNNNNNNNNNNNNNNNNNNNNNNNNNNNNNNNNNNNNNNNNNNNNNNNNNNNNNNNNNNNNNNNNNNNNNNNNNNNNNNNNNNNNNNNNNNNNNNNNNNNNNNNNNNNNNNNNNNNNNNNNNNNNNNNNNNNNNNNNNNNNNNNNNNNNNNNNNNNNNNNNNNNNNNNNNNNNNNNNNNNNNNNNNNNNNNNNNNNNNNNNNNNNNNCACGAAUGAGAUAGAUGGUCGAGAGAGAGUCAGACUUCGGGAAGAAGAGGGUGGGAGGGCGGGAAAACAAAAGCAACUUGAAACGGGAAAUCGAUGAAUAUCUUGAAGAGAAAACACCGGUUGAAAACAUUGAGGCAAGAAAACAAAGACUUCACACGAGUAGGAUGGAUACUCGAAUAUGGACUCCGGUUCCGAGAAGGAAAAGGGGUGGGUGGGUGGGAAAGAAAACAACUGAGGAUUGAACUCAAUGAUGAAGAGGCUCGAGUCGACUUGACGAGAAAUGCACCGGAUGAAAAGAGCUGAGAACCAACGAUCGAAAAAACCAACUGCGUGAUCCUAAAAAAAAUUUUGAAGGGAAGAGGAGUAAUUCAAAACACCUACAUCAAGAUUCCUUACCAGAGCGACGAAGGGGCUGGGGAGUAAAAAGAAUUCCUACUCUCCGAUAUAACUAGACUCCGAAAACAGUUUUCUUCUAGACUCAACAACGGCCAAACUACAUGAUCAAUCAAGGGGGGUCCUAGGGUCGGUCGAGGCUCUAAUACCAACUUGUCACGCCCAAUAUGUGACCCUAUCCAAAAGGAACUCGAAGGUCCCACCAAGGAUAGACCCGCAUAUUGAAACGCUUUUGCAAGGUGGAUAUCAUUACAUCAACAUUACAUAAUAGAUGGGGAUACAUACAUAAGGCAUACAAUGCCACACGAAUACAACAUCACAAUACAAAAGAGCACCAUCCGACUACGGAUGAAAUACAAACUCAAACGACAUCCACCUUGCUAGCCCAGGCUACUGACCUGGAACCUAUCCACUGAUCGAACAAGAAGCAGAAGAAGAACUCGAAAACAAGCAAAUAUCGCUCUCGCGUCAUGAUCAUCGCAUAACCUGUACCUGCAACUGUUGUUGUAGUAAUCUGUGAGCCACGAGGACUCAGCAAUCCCAUUAUCAUGGGUAUUAAGACUAGCAAAGCUUAAAAGGAAAGGAAGGGGUAAAGUGGUGAGGUUGCAGCAGCGACUAAGCAUAUAUGGUGGCUAACAUAUGCAAAUAAGAGCGAGAAGAGAGCAAAAGGAACGGUCGUGAAACUAGCAAUGAUCAAGAAGUGAUCCUGAACUCCUACUUACGUCAAACAUAACCCAGAAACCGUGUUCACUUCCCGGACUCCGCCGAAAAGAGACCAUCACGGCUACACACACGGUUGAUGCGUUUUAAUUCGGAUCUGGUGUCAAGUUAUCUACAACCGGACAUUAACAAAUUCCCAUCUGCCUAUAACCGCAGGCACGGCUUUCGAAAGAUUAUAGCCUGCAGGGGUGUCCCAACUUAGCCCAUGAUAAGCUCUCGCGAUCAACGAAGGAUAUACCUUCUCCCAGGAAGACCCGAUCAGACUCGGAAUCCCGGUUUACAAGACUUUUCGACAAUGGUAAAACAAAACCAGCAAAGCCGCCCGAUGCGCCGACAAAUCCCGAUAGGAGCUGCACAUAUCUCGUUCUCAGGGAAACACCGGAUGAGACUAGCUACGAGUAAAACCAACCCUCAAGUUGCCCCGAGGUGGCCCCGCAGGCAGCUCAGUUCGGACCAACACUUAGACAAGCACUGGCCCGGGGGGGCUAAAAUAAAGAUGACCCUCGGGUUGGCCGACCCAAGGGAAAGGUAUCGGUGGUGGUGAAGCAAAUGGUAAAACCAAGGUUGGGCCUUGCUGGAGGAGUUUUAUUCAAAGCGAACUAUCAAGGGGGUCCCAUAAAUCACCCAACCGCGUAAGGAACGCAAAAUCCGGGAGCAUAACACCGGUAUGACGGAAACUAGGGCGGCAAGAGUGGAACAAAACACCAGACAUAAGGCCGAGUCUUCCACCCUUUACCAAGUAUAUAGAUGCAUUAAUAAUAUAAGAGAUAUUGUGAUAUCCCCAACCAAAAUCCUGUCCACCAUGGAGCAAUCUUCAACUUCACCUGCAACUAGCAACGCUAUAAGAGGGCCGAGCAAAGCGGUAACAUAGCGAAGCAACGGUUUGCAUAGGAAAGGUGUCAAAGGUUAGAGGUUCAUGGCAAUAUGGGAGGCUUGAUGAGCAAAAGAUAGGUAACGCAGCAUAGCGAUAGAACGAAGCAACUAGCAUAGCAAUGAUAGUAGUGAGAUCCAGGAUAGCGGUCAUCUUGCCUGAAAUCCCGCAAGGAAGAAGAACGAGUCCAUGAAGAAGAUGAAGCCACGAAGACGAACCAAGCAUAGACGAACGAAUCCUCACGAUCGCAACGAAACGGGAACUAUCGAGAAGAAGCACACAACAUAGUAAACACACCACACAUAUACAAGAGAUGAUGCACAAACAAGUAUGAUGCAUGACAAGGCUACAUGAAGCUACUCAUGGCAAGAGAUGAUGCAAACAAGAGCAACACAUCAAGGCAAGUUUAAAUGAUGCCGGGAACAACAUAUAACAAUUCCGGUAAGUCCUCAUAUGCAUAUUUCGAAAUUGGUCCAUAUCUGAAUAAAUCUUAUGUUCAAGUUGUUAAACAGCAAGUUAAGAUGCACAAAGAUGAUCUACACGAGAUUCUAGUCAAGUUACAUAUAAAGUUCAUUUAGUUCGGAGCUACGACCUAGAAGAUAUGAGCAAAACAAGUUAAACAUGGCAUUGAUGCAAAAUGCAUACAAACAUCAAGCAAACACCUCAAAACAUGGAUGCAACAUGAUAAUAUGAAGCUACAUGCAAUUCUAAGCAAGUUUCAUAUAGAGCACACUCAAAACGGAGCAACGGUUCAACACACACACACUAUACGUCAUAGCAACAAUCUGUCCAAAACAGCAACUAGGCAUAUUGCAAGCAUCAAAACAACAUGCUACAACACCCCAACAUGAGAACAAAAGGCAUGGACAUAAUGUACAGGUAAAGCAUAACAAAACAUGAACACUGAGCUAUCUCCAGAAAUCACUAUAACAUGCUCAAACACACAUGGCAAGAUUGCAAAUAAUAACAGUUCAGACUUUGCAGAAAAUAACAUCAGGUUGCAAUGUUUAGAGCUAUUAAACAACAUGUUACAGGAACUUAUCAUGGCAAACAAAGGCAUGGCAUGAAUCUACUAAAUGUAUAGAACAAAAGACCCUUACUGACCAUGAGCCAAAAAGGAUCAGAAAAUAUGAUGCCACCCACGUAAACAUGGCAAGUUAUAAUACAGAUUCAUACAUGGCAGAAACAGAAUUAUGAAGGCAUGUUGAUGAGCUUGUGCAACUCUCUACAGGGUAAAACAUGGCAUGGCAAGGCAACCAACAGUAAGAAGACAUGAUUAUGAAGCUAAGAAUGGCAAUAGCAAGUCCAUAGGGUGCAUGGAACACUAGCAACAAUCAUGGCAACAACUGAACUCAAUGUUAACAGGCUGACGGCAACAUUAUUUAGCAACUUUGGAGCAAGAUAUGAACAACUACAACAAGCUAUAAAUGCAACCAGGGGCAUGAAUGGAUAGAGCAUGACAUGUAGAACAAAACACAAUUAGUGAACAUCUCCAGAUUAUGCAUAGAAUGACUAGUAGCAGCAGGUUUACAUAGCAUCACGAAAUAACAGAUUCAGCCUAGCAAAACAGUAACAGCAAGUACCCUACUUAACAAGCUUGAAUCACUCACCACAAGUCAUUGCAUGACAAGAUAAGUAUAGCAUCAGCAAGAAGACAUGUUUAUGAAACAAACCAAGUCAAGAACAAGUCCAUAGUAUGCAAGGAUCAACUACAACAACCUUGGAAAAAUUGAAUAACAUGUAAACAAUCCGCCAGGAAACAUUUUGGGGCAAAAGUAGAGCACGAAAAUGACAUGAUAGGCUACUCCAUAAUUGCAAAUAGGGGCAUGAGCGGCUAGAUAAUAACCAUAUGUUCAAAACAUCCUUAUUGAAGUAUCUCAAAAUAUGCAUGGAUCUCUCUAUAGCAUCAGGUUUACAUGGCAUCAAAAUAACAGCAGAACAGGGACUAAAAUCAGCAAUAUCACGAAGCCUAGUUUGCAUGCUUGUGCUAUUCAUCACAUUGAUCACAAAAAUACAUGGUAAGCACCUCUGUAAAGAUGGCAUGGUAUAGUUCAAAACACAUGUAGACAUCAACCUCAUAGGAUGCACACAUCAAACAUGGCAAAAAUGACAAAUGAGUAUGUUAUAACAGUUUCAGCAGAUUAACAUCAUGAAGCACUCUCGCAACGAUGAUUCAGGUAUCAAGAUGAGCUCAAAUGAACAUGAUGCAAUGGAAUGAGAUGAAGUACUCCUUAAGACGAACAAUUUGACCUAUUACAUGCGCAANNNNNNNNNNNNNNNNNNNNNNNNNNNNNNNNNNNNNNNNNNNNNNNNNNNNNNNNNNNNNNNNNNNNNNNNNNNNNNNNNNNNNNNNNNNNNNNNNNNNNNNNNNNNNNNNNNNNNNNNNNNNNNNNNNNNNNNNNNNNNNNNNNNNNNNNNNNNNNNNNNNNNNNNNNNNNNNNNNNNNNNNNNNNNNNNNNNNNNNNNNNNNNNNNNNNNNNNNNNNNNNNNNNNNNNNNNNNNNNNNNNNNNNNNNNNNNNNNNNNNNNNNNNNNNNNNNNNNNNNNNNNNNNNNNNNNNNNNNNNNNNNNNNNNNNNNNNNNNNNNNNNNNNNNNNNNNNNNNNNNNNNNNNNNNNNNNNNNNNNNNNNNNNNNNNNNNNNNNNNNNNNNNNNNNNNNNNNNNNNNNNNNNNNNNNNNNNNNNNNNNNNNNNNNNNNNNNNNNNNNNNNNNNNNNNNNNNNNNNNNNNNNNNNNNNNNNNNNNNNNNNNNNNNNNNNNNNNNNNNNNNNNNNNNNNNNNNNNNNNNNNNNNNNNNNNNNNNNNNNNNNNNNNNNNNNNNNNNNNNNNNNNNNNNNNNNNNNNNNNNNNNNNNNNNNNNNNNNNNNNNNNNNNNNNNNNNNNNNNNNNNNNNNNNNNNNNNNNNNNNNNNNNNNNNNNNNNNNNNNNNNNNNNNNNNGCGCAGGGCCGCGGCCAGCGAUGGCGGAGAGGCGGGGCGGCGGCGCGCGGGCUCAUGCAGGCCGGAUCUGGGCCCCGCGGGCCGCGCGGUGGAGACGGGGGCGGGGGCGAAUCGGAAGGCGGCACGUGGCGGCGGCGAGGGGGCUGGACAUGUCCGGCAGCGGAGCGGACAUGUCCGGUGCGGUGAGGGAGGAGACGGCUAGGGUUUCGGGGGGGAUUUGAUCCGCGAAUUUGGACGGGGAGGGCAUAUUUAUAGAUUUUGGGAGCUAGGAGAGUCCAAAUGAGGAGCGGUUUUCGGCCACGCGAUCGUGAUCAAACGACCGAGAGCAUGGAGGGGAGUUAGAUGGGUUUUGGGCCAGUUUGGAGGGGUGUUGGGCUGCAAAGAGAAAGGGGGUUUUGGGUUACGCGGUUAACCGUUGGAGUAUCAAACAGACUCCAAAUGGCAUGAAACUUGACAGGCGGUCUACCGGUGGUGUACCAAGGCCACUUGGCAAGCCUCGGGAUAUUCCGAGAAAGUUUAACACCCGCUCACAACAAGAGACAAAAGGGGAACGCCGGAGGGCAUAGGAGUGCCGGGUUGCAAAACAGACAACGGGGAAAAGGCUUGGAUGCAUGAGACGAACACGUAUGCAAUGCAAUUCAAUGCACAUGAUGACAUGAUAAAAUGCAACACGCAAGCAAAUGACAUGGCAAAGAAGGUGAAAAACUGGCAGACACCUGGCGCAUCGAAUUCGGGGCGUUACAACACUCCUCCACUAACAAGAGAUCUCGUCCUGAGAUCUUAGGACCGAGACGGAAGGGAAAAAGGAUAUGGUGAAACAAGAACUCAAGAGAAGAAGCAAAGAAUCGCGAGCACACGAGAAGAAGAGAUGAAUGACGAGAAUGACGAGAAUCGAAAGCUCACGGAAUCAGAUCGACUAAGAAACCACUCCGGUUAAAACGAGAUAAGAAACGAAUAAGACUGAAAGGAUUUAGGCAGCACUCCGGCUGAAAAUGGAAGGAAAAGAACACGAGCUUGAGAGGACGGAAUGAUACUUGAUGAAGACAUGACACAAAAACUCCGAAAAGAAUUAAAAGAGUUGAAUGAAAAGAACGGAGAAGAAAAUGACAACUUGUCCCACGAAUGAAAUAGAAAGCAACCUUAGAAGAAAAGAUUGAAUGGAGUUGUUGAGAAAAUUCAACAACGAAAAGAAUAAGCUUGUCAUGGACUUAUGGAUAACAUCUCAGAAAUUAUGAGGUGAUAACCAGCCGCAAACAGAAAUGAUUGGAUAGCUGAGAAGAACGAAGAAAUGCAAAACUCCACUUCAAAAGAAUACGGAGAAUUAAUUGCACUUGAGAUGCAAGAAGGAAGAUACUAGAAUUUCUCCAACAAAGAACCUUGAUGAACUCUUGAAGAAUGAGUUAACUCAUGAAGAACCACCAUAAAGAACUCUGGUAACAAAAGNNNNNNNNNNNNNNNNNNNNNNNNNNNNNNNNNNNNNNNNNNNNNNNNNNNNNNNNNNNNNNNNNNNNNNNNNNNNNNNNNNNNNNNNNNNNNNNNNNNNNNNNNNNNNNNNNNNNNNNNNNNNNNNNNNNNNNNNNNNNNNNNNNNNNNNNNNNNNNNNNNNNNNNNNNNNNNNNNNNNNNNNNNNNGGGAGAACGGACAAAAUUUAGAGGACAAACUCUUCUUCGAUCUUCAAAUGACGACGAGAAACACCACCAAAAUUAUUGAGGUACUCCAGGAGAAUGAAAAGCGAAGACGUUGAGGCAACAAUGAAAAUGAUUUGAACUGAUCUUGGAAAAGAUCUGACUGAUGAAAAUCAUACUUACGUUAAACUUCAAAAAGGAUUUGAGAAUAGCUCCGGGAAAAUUAGAAUAGUCAGGUAAGAUCCUGAAAAAAGACCUGUGAGUUAUGGCCCACUGAAGAGAGAACACCGUUGAAAAGGAUUGUUGAAGAGAUAGGUGAAGCACCGGAACAAUUGAAAUAUUUGAAUGAGGUGACAACCUCGAAUUAAUUGGAACACUGACGAAUCUUCUGAGAUGUCUUGAACACUCUGGAAGGACAAAUUGGCGAGAGGCGAACGAGCAGGGAAAACACUUCGAGGAAAAAGGAUAUGAUCUACCGAAAACUUGAAUUGAAUCCACCGGAGAAGAAAAAGAGAUGAAGAAUGUCAAACGAGAUGAGAAUUCACCGGUUGAGAUAAUUUAUGAAAGACUGAAGAGGUUCCGCACGAAUGAGAUAGAUGGUCGAGAGAGAGUCAGACUUCGGGAAGAAGAGGGUGGGAGGGCGGGAAAACAAAAGCAACUUGAAACGGGAAAUCGAUGAAUAUCUUGAAGAGAAAACACCGGUUGAAAACAUUGAGGCAAGAAAACAAAGACUUCACACGAGUAGGAUGGAUACUCGAAUAUGGACUCCGGUUCCGAGAAGGAAAAGGGGUGGGUGGGUGGGAAAGAAAACAACUGAGGAUUGAACUCAAUGAUGAAGAGGCUCGAGUCGACUUGACGAGAAAUGCACCGGAUGAAAAGAGCUGAGAACCAACGAUCGAAAAAACCAACUGCGUGAUCCUAAAAAAAAUUUGAAGGGAAGAGGAGUAAUUCAAAACACCUACAUCAAGAUUCCUUACCAGAGCGACGAAGGGGCUGGGGAGUAAAAAGAAUUCCUACUCUCCGAUAUAACUAGACUCCGAAAACAGUUUUCUUCUAGACUCAACAACGGCCAAACUACAUGAUCAAUCAAGGGGGCUCCUAGGGUCGGUCGAGGCUCUAAUACCAACUUGUCACGCCCAAUAUGUGACCCUAUCCAAAAGGAACUCGAAGGUCCCACCAAGGAUAGACCCGCAUAUUGAAACGCUUUUGCAAGGUGGAUAUCAUUACAUCAACAUUACAUAAUAGAUGGGGAUACAUACAUAAGGCAUACAAUGCCACACGAAUACAACAUCACAAUACAAAAGAGCACCAUCCGACUACGGAUGAAACACAAACAGAAACUCAAAUGACAUCCACCCUGCUAGCCCAGGCUGCCGACCUGGAACCUAUCCCCUGAUCAAAGAAGAAGCAGAAGAAGAACUCCAAAACAGGCAAACAUCGCUCUCGCGUCAUGAUCAUCGCAUAACCUGUACAUGCAACUGUUGUUGUAGUAACCUGUACCUACAACUGUUGAUGGCUAACAUACGCAAAUAAGAGCGAGAAGAGAGCAAAAGGAACGGUCGUGAAACUAGCAAUGAUCAAGAAGUGAUCCUGAACUCCUACUUACGUCAAACAUAACCCAGAAACCGUGUUCACUUCCCGGACUCCGCCGAAAAGAGACCAUCACGGCUACACACACGGUUGAUGCGUUUUAAUUCGGAUCUGGUGUCAAGUUAUCUACAACCAGACAUUAACAAAUUCCCAUCUGCCUAUAACCGCAGGCACGACUUUCGAAAGAUUAUACCCUGCAGGGGUGUCCCAACUUAGCCCAUGAUAAGCUCUCGCGAUCAACGAAGGAUAUACCUUCUCCCAGGAAGACCCGAUCAGACUCAGAAUCCCGGUUUACAAGACUUUUCGACAAUGGUAAAACAAGACCAGCAAAGCCGCCCGAUGCGCCGACAAAUCCCGAUAGGAGCUGCACAUAUCUCGUUCUCAGGGCAACACCGGAUGAGACUAGCUACGAGUAAAACCAACCCUCAAGUUGCCCCGAGGUGGCCCCGCAGGCAGCUUAGUUCGGAACAACACUUAGACAAGCACUGGCCCGGGGGGGGGGCUAAAAUAAAGAUGAGCCUCGGGUUGGCCGACCCAAGGGAAGGGUAUAGGUGGUGGUGAGGCAAAUGGUAAAACCAAGGUUGGGCCUUGCUGGAGGAGUUUUAUUCAAAGCGAACUGUCUAGGGGGUCCCAUAAAUCAUCCAACCGCGUAAGGAACGCAAAAUCCGGGAACAUAACACCGGUAUGACGGAAACUAGGGCGUUAAGAGUGGAACAAAACACCAGGCAUAAGGCCGAGUCUUCCACCUUUUACCAAGUAUAUAUAUGCAUUAAUAAUAUAAGAGAUAUUGUGAUAUCCCCAACCAAAGUCCUGUCCACCAUGGAGCAAUCUUCAACUUCACCUGCAACUAGCAACGCUAUAAGAGGGCUGAGCAAAGCAGUAACAUAGCGAAGCAACGGUUUGCAUAGGAAAGGUGUCAAAGGUUAGAGGUUCAUGGCAAUAUGGGAGGCUUGAUGAGCAAAAGAUAGGUAACACAGCAUAGCGAUAGAACGAAGCAACUAGCAUAGCAAUGAUAGUAGUGAGAUCCAGGGUAGCGGUCAUCUUGCCUGAAAUCCCGCAAGGAAGAAGAACGAGUCCAUGAAGAAGAUGAAGCCACGAAGACGAACCAAGCGUAGACGAACAAAUCCUCACGAUCGCAACGAAACGGGAACUAUCGAGAAGAAGCACACAACAUAGUAAACACACCACACAUAUACAAGAGAUGAUGCACAAACAAGUAUGAUUCAUGACAAGGCUACAUGAAGCUACUCAUGGCAAGAGAUGAUGCAAACAAGAGCAACACAUCAAGGGAAGUUUAAAUGAGGCCGGGAACAACAUAUAACAAUUCCGGUAAGUCCUCAUAUGCAUAUUUCGAAAUUGGUCCAGAUCUGAAUAAACCUUAUGUUCAAGUUGUUAAAUAGCAAGUUAAGAUGCACAAAGAUGAUCUACGCGAGAUUCUAGUCAAGUUACAUAUAAAGUUCAUUUAGUUCGGAGCUACGGCCUAGAAGAUAUGAGCAAAACAAGUUAAACAUGGCAUUGAUGCAAAAUGCAUACAAACAUCAAGCAAACAGCUCAAAACAUGGAUGCAACAUGAUAAUAUGAAGCUACAUGCAAUUCUAAGCAAUUUUCAUAUAGAGCACACUCAAAACGGAGCAACAGUUCAACACACACACACUAUACAAGUCAUAGCAACAAUCUGUCCAAAACAGCAACUAGGCAUAUUGCAAGCAUCAAAACAACAUGCUACAGAUGAGAACAAAAGGCAUGGGCAUGAUGUACAGGUAAAGCAUAACAAAACAUGAACACUUAGCUAUCUCCAGAAAUCACUAGAACAUGCUCAAACACACAUGGCAAGAUUACAAAUAAUAACAGUUCAGACUUUGCAGAAAAUAACAUCAUGUUGCAAUGUUUAGAGCUAUCAAACAACAUGUUACAGGAACUUAUCAUGGCAAAUAAAGGCAUGGCAUGAAUCUACUAAAUGUAUAGAACAAAAGUUCCGUACUGACUAUGAGCAAAAAAGGAUCAGAAAAUAUGAUGGCACCCACGUAAACAUGGCAAGUAAUAAUACAGAUUCAUACAUGGCAGGAACAGAAUUAUGAAGGCAUGUUGAUGAGCUUGUGCAACUCUCUACAGGGCAAAACAUGGCAUGGAAAGGCAACCAACAGUAAGAAGACAUGAUUAUGAAGCUAAGCAUGGCAAUAGAAAGUCCAUAGGGUGCAUGGAACACUAGCAACAAUCAUGGAAACAACUGAACUCAAUGUUAACAGGCUGACAGCAACAUUAUGUAGCAACUUUGGGGCAAGAUAUAAACAAGCUACAGCAAGCUAUAAAUGCAACCAGGGGCAUGAAUAGAUAGAGGAUGAUAUGUAGAACUAAACACCAUUAGUGAACAUCUCCAGAUUAUGCAUAGAAUGACUAGUAGCAGCAGGUUUACAUAGCAUCACGAAAUAACAGAUUCAGCCUAGCAAAACAGUAACAACAAGUACCCUACUUAACAAGCUCGAAUCACUCACCACAAGUCAUUGCAUGACAAGAUAAGUAUAGCAUCAGCAAGAAGACAUGUUUAUGAAACAAACCAAGUCAAGAACAAGUCCAUAGCAUGCAAGGAUCAACUACAUCAACCUUGGCAAAAUUGAAUAACAUGUAAAAAAUCCGCCAGGAAACAUUUUGGGGCAAAAGUAGAGCACGAAAAUGACAUGAUAGGCUACUCCAUAAUUGCAAACAGGGGCAUGAACGGCUAGAUAAUAACCAUAUAUUCAAAACAUCCUUACUGAAGUAUCUCAAAAUAUGCAUGGAUCUCUCUGUAGCAUCAAGUUUAUAUGGCAUCAAAAUAACAGCAGAACAGGGACUAAAAUCAGCAAUAUCACGAAGCCUAGUUUGCAUGCUUGUGCUAGUCACCACAUUGAUCACAGAAAUACAUGGUAAGCACCUCUGUAUAGAUGGCAUGGCAUAGUUCAAAACACAUGUAGACAUCAACAUCAUAGGAUGCACACAUCAAACAUGGCAGAAAUGACAAAUGAGCAUGUUAUAACAGUUUCAGCAGAUUAACAUCAUGAAGCACUCUUGCAGCGAUGAUUCAGGCAUCAGGAUGAGCUCAAAUGAACAUGAUGAAAUGGAAUGAAAUGAAGUACUCGUUGAGACGAACAAUUUGACAUAUUACACGCACAAAAUGGAGCUACGGAUGCAGAGAUAUGAUGCGAUGAACAUGGCAUGAUUAUGCAAAAUAUCCGGGAAUUUGGCGAAAUUUCAGGGUCAACCUUGUUUUCAGAUCUAGAUCGGGGCGCGGAAAGCGAGGGUAGCCGGAGCAUCGCCGGAGAUGGCCGCGGGAGGUCAAGGGCGGCACGGGGAGAUGGCCCCGGACCGGAUCCGGCCGGCGGCGGGCACGGUCGGCGACGCGCGGGGCCGGCGGACUCCUAGCGCAGCCNNNNNNNNNNNNNNNNNNNNNNNNNNNNNNNNNNNNNNNNNNNNNNNNNNNNNNNNNNNNNNNNNNNNNNNNNNNNNNNNNNNNNNNNNNNNNNNNNNNNNNNNNNNNNNNNNNNNNNNNNNNNNNNNNNNNNNNNNNNNNNNNNNNNNNNNNNNNNNNNNNNNNNNNNNNNNNNNNNNNNNNNNNNNNNNNNNNNNNNNNNNNNNNNNNNNNNNNNNNNNNNNNNNNNNNNNNNNNNNNNNNNNNNNNNNNNNNNNNNNNNNNNNNNNNNNNNNNNNNNNNNNNNNNNNNNNNNNNNNNNNNNNNNNNNNNNNNNNNNNNNNNNNNNNNNNNNNNNNNNNNNNNNNNNNNNNNNNNNNNNNNNNNNNNNNNNNNNNNNNNGGCCGCGCGGUGGAGACGGCGGCGGGGGCGAAUCGGAAGGCGACACGUGGCGGCGGCGAGGGGGUUGGACAUGUCCGGCGGCGGAGCGGACAUGUCCGGCGCAGUGAGGGAGGAGACGGCUAGGGUUUCGGGGGGGAUUUGAUCCGCGAAUUUGGACGGAGAGGGCAUAUUUAUAGAUUUUGGGAGCUAGGAGAGUCCAAAUGAGGAGCGGUUUUUGGCCACGCGAUCGUGAUCGAACGACCGAGAGCAUGGAGGGGAGUUAGAUGGGUUUUGGGCUAGUUUGGAGGGGUGUUGGGCUGCAAAGAGAAAGGGGGGUUUCGGGCUACGCGGUUAACCAGGAGUAUCAAACGGACUCCAAAUGGCACGAAACUUGACAGGCGGUCUACCGAUGGUGUACCAAGGCCACUUGGCAAGCCUCGGGCCAUUCCGAGAAAGUUUAACACCCGCUCACAACGAGAGACAAAAGGGGAACGCCGGAGGGCAUAGGAGUGCCGGGUUGCAAAACGGACAACGGGGAAAAGGCUCGGAUGCAUGAGACGAACACGAAUGCAAUGCAAUGCAAUGCACAUGAUGACAUGAUAAAAUGCAACACGCAAGCAAAUGACUUGGCAAAGAAGGCGAAAAACUGGCAGACACCUGGCACAUCGAAUCUGGGGCGUUACAGAAUGACAGGCGGGGCCCACCAAAUGGGCUGCCCCACAAGUCAGCGAGACCCAGCCAGGAGCCACGGAGUGAGCAAGAGCGAGCGAAACGAGUAACUAUUCAUUCCAGCAGUGCCAGCUCCAGAUCCGAUGGCCCAGGUUCAUCCAUAUCUCGAUCCGACGCCCAGAAUCGCAUCAAGCAAACCGAUCCGACGGCCGAAAGUGCCUGAUCGCUGUGAGAGCCCGGGAGUGACUGCCGUCCUUAUUUCUGGAUAUAUAGCCUGCAUUAAAAACUGAAAAAUAUUAUUUUAUGUAAGAGUGCACAAAAGCUCGUCGAACACAUGCAUUGCAUGAGCUUUUCUUAAAUAAAGGUUAUGCAUGUUCAGCUAGUUCUCGCACAGCAGCGAUUCAUAUUUACGAUGCCAAUUAUGAACCUUGACGAUGGUUGCACGCAACAUCCCUUUAUGAACCUUGACGAUGGUUGCAGCGCUGAUCGUGUAUGUCGAUUAUAUCCAGUGCCUCAUAGAUUUUACAGCCGGGUGUAACACUUCACGCACAUGCACAGUUCGGUUAUUCAGCAUCGUAAAUAUCACGAAUGGAUGACGACCCCUUUCUCCUGAAUUAAUACCUUAUAGAGCAUCUUCAACAGGCGUGCUAAAAGACGCGCCCGCGCGGUAAAAUUGUUUUUUAGCACGUGUCGACCGGUUUCGCGCGCUCCAGCGGUGGCAGGAAACGAUCACGCACGCGGGAGAAAAGGCGGCAGCUCGCGCGCUAGAUUUGGCGCGCCGCUUCGCGCGCGCCUAUAAAACGGCAGCGCCAUCUGCCGCUCUCUCUCGCUCUCUCCACUGAUUUUCCUCCUCGCCGCCGACACGCCACCACCGCGCCACCAUGCUGCCUCGCCGCCGGGGAGGUUCAGGCUAGCGCGGCGUCCACGUGCGCCCGUCCGGCACCUACUCCGCCUCGAUUCAGUCGGGCGGCGGCGUGCGCCUUGGCCUCGGAACCUUCGACACCGCCCAGGAUGGCGUCCGCGCGUACGACGUUGCGGCGUGGCGCCUCCGGCGGUCCCGUUGGGACAUGAACUUUACCGACGUGUCGACGCGGGAGCGGGCACAAGAGUUCGCGCCUUUCCCGCGGCUUACCACUGACGAGGAUCGUCACAAACACCAGAGGCGGGAGCGCCGUCUUAGCCAGGCCGAGAUGGACGAGGAAGCCAUGGCGGUGUGGAGGCAACGCUUCCCGCAAGACAUCAUUAACGAAGAACAGUUCUUCGCCGAGAGGAGGGCGGAGAGGGAGGAGAGGAGGAAGGAGCGAGCCGCCUAUUGCAAGGACAAGCGAACGCGGAAGGCGGUCGCUAAAUACAACAUGGAGCUAGGUGAUGCGUUGUCCCGGGACUCCCGCGAGCGGUUCCUUGACGCCUAUGCUCAGACGCCGGAGGAGGACAUCACCGAGGCAGAGUCCGAGUCGAAGAAAGAGUAGCAGUAGUUUUUAUUUUGUAUCAUAGAAGCAGGUUAUGUGGACGUAGUAGAACUGAGAAGCCAGUUUUAUUUUGUAUCGUAGAAGCAGGCUAUGUGGACGUAGUAGAAGUAUAUAUCGUUGGAGAAGCCAGUUUUAUUUUGUAUCGUAGAAGCAGACUAUGUGGACGUAGUAGAACUAUAUAUCGUUGGAGAAGUCUAGAUGUACGCAUUUUGUAUCGUAGAAGCAGACUAUGUGCCGAACUAUUUUUUACGCGCUGCUAGAGCGGCGCGCGCACGCUACAUUUUAGCGCGGCUGUUGGAGCCAAUGUUGCAGGCCGCGUAAAACCAGGCAAAGCGCACACGGCAAAGUAGUUUUUAACGCGGCGCGUGUUGCGCGCCUGUUGGAGAUGCUCUUAGCGUACCCAAGAGCUGAAAUGUGCUGGUGGUCUGUUGCUACUCAUCCCUAUGACUUUAUUUAUAAAAUCGGACGUAUCUUUUCUCUAAAAACAGAGCUGAAAUCAAAGGGCAUGGCAUGUCCUUUGAGAGGAUAAAUGAAGGUCUGCACUCGAUGCAAAGUGACCACGGGGUGCGCAUCCCUUAGCUCGGACUCUUGAAAGGCCAAACCCUAGCAAAAUCUGUGUAGUGAAAGGGGAGAGAGUAAUUGGACUGGAAGAUAAAGCACCUCAAUAUAUUCUUGAAUCAUACAUGCAAGACGCGUGGUGUGAAAAAGGGGCGGUAUUUGUAAAUUUGCAUGAAACAAUAACUGGUCUUAGCCAAUGGUUUAUACCAACUAUUAAAUCUAAACACCCGCCGCCAAGAAAGCAAGGAAGCAAAACCUGAGCACCCCCCACUAGCGUGCCUAAUUGGUCGCACAAGAAACAAGGCGACCUCGCUAAACUGCCUCCCGCCGAUACUACUCUCCGUCCCUUCCACCCACGGCAUAUCGGCUGCCAUGGUUAAGCGGUGGCUCCCCCUAGAGGCCAAGCCCGACGUCAUGAACCAGGUACCCGUGCCUCCUCUCCACUUCGGCUAGGGCUUUUGCUUCGUCAUCUCCUCUGUUGGGGAACGUAGUAAUUUAAAGAAUUUCCUACGCACACGCAAGAUCAUGGUGAUGCAUAGCAACAAGAGGGAAGAGUGUGUCCACGUACCCUCGUAGACCGAAAGCGGAAGCGUUAGAACAACGCGUUUGAUGUAGUCGUACGUCUUCACGGCCCGACCGAUCAAGCACCGAAACUACAGCACCUCCGAGUUCUAGCACACGUUCAGCUCGAUGACGUCCCUCGAAAUCCGAUCCAGCCGAGUGUCGAGGGAGAGUUCCGUCAGCAUGACGGCGUGGUGAUGAUUUUGAUGUUCUACAGUCGCAGGGCUUCGCUUAAGCACCGCUACAAUAUUAUCGAGGAGGACUAUGGUGGAGGGGGGCACCGAACACGGCUAAGAGAUCCAAGGGAUCAAUUGUGGUUAUGUCUAGAGGUGCCCUCCUGCCCCCGUAUAUAAAGGAGCCAGGGGGAGGGGUUCGGCCGGCCAGGAGGGGCGCGCCAGGAGGAGUCCUCCUCCCACCGGGAGUAGGACUCCCCCCCUUCCUUGUUGGAGUAGGAGAGAAGGAAAGAGGGGGAGAGGAGGAAGGAAAAGGGGGCUGCACCCCUUGUCCAAUUCGGACCAGAGGGAAGCUGCGCGCCUCCUUCCUUUCGGCCUCUCUCCUCUAUUCCCAUAUGGCCCAAUAAGGCCCAUAUACUCCCCGACGAAUUCCCGUAACUCUCUGGUACUCCGAAAAAUACCCGAAUCACUCGGAACCCUUCCGAACUCCGAAUAUAGUCGUCCAAUAUAUCGAUAUUUACGUCUCGACCACUUCGAGACUCCUCAUCAUGUCCCCGAUCUCAUCCGGGACUCUGAACUCCUUCGAUACAUCAAAACUCAUAAAUUCAUAAUAUAACUAUCAUCGAAACCUUAAGUGUGCGGACCCUACGGGUUCGAGAACAAUGUAGACAUGACCGAAACACAUUUCCGGUCAAUAACCAAAUAGCGGAACCUGGAUGCUCAUAUUGGCUCCCACAUAUUCUAUGAAGAUCUUUAUCGGUCAGACCGCAUAACAACAUACAUUGUUCCCUUUGUCAUCGGUAUGUUACUUGCCCGAGAUUCGAUCGUCGGUAUCUCAAUACCUAGUUCAAUCUCGUUACCGGCAAGUCUCUUUACUCGUUCCGUAAUACAUCAUCCCGCAACUAAUUCAUUAGUUGCAAUGCUUGCAAGGCUUAAGUGAUGUGCAUUACCGAGUGGGCCCAAAGAUACCUCUCCGACAAUCGGAGUGACAAAUCCUAAUAUCGAAAUACGCCAACCCAACAAGUACCUUCGGAGACACCUGUAGAGCACAUUUAUAAUCACCCAGUUACGUUGUGACGUUUGGUAGCACACAAAGUGUUCCUCCGAUAAAUGGGAGUUGCAUAAUCUCAUAGUCAUAGGAACAUGUAUAAGUCAUGAAGAAAGCAACAACAACAUACUAAACGAUCGGGUGCUAUGCUAACGGAGUGGGUCAUGUCAAUCACAUCAUUCUCCUAAUGAUGUGAUCCCGUUAAUCAAAUGACAACUCAUGUCUUUGGCUAGGAAACGUAACCAUCUUUGAUUCAACGAGCUAGUCAAGUAGAGGCAUACUAGUGACACUAUGUUUGUCUAUGUAUUCACGCAUGUAUUAUGUUUCUGGUUAAUACAAUUCUAGCAUGAAUAAUAAACAUUUAUCAUGAAAUAAGGAAAUAAAUAAUAACUUUACUAUUGCCUCUAGGGCAUAUUUCCUUUAGUCUCCCACUUGCACUUGAGUCAAUAAUCUAGUUCACAUCGCCAUGUGAUUUAACACCAAUAUUCACAUCUGUAUGUGAUUAAUACCCAUAGUUCACAUCAUCAUGUGAUCAACACCCAAAGGGUUUACUAGAGUCAAUAACCUAGUUCACAUCGCUAUGUGAUUAACACCCAAAGAGUACUAAGGUAUGAUCAUGUUUUGCUCGUGAGAGAAGUUUAGUCAACGAGUCUGUCAUAUUCAGAGCCGUAUGUAUUUUGCAAAUAUUCUAUGUCUACAAUGCUUUGCACGGAGCUACUCUAGUUAAUUGCUCCCACUUUCAAUAUGUAUCCAGAUUGAGACUUAGAGUCAUCUGGAUUGGUGUAAAAGCUUGCAUCGAUGUAACUCUUUACAACGAACUCUUUUAUCACCUCCAUAAUCGAAAAACAUCUCCUUAGUCCUCACUAAGGAUAUUCUUGACCACUGUCCAGUGAUCUACUCUUAGAUCAAAAUUGUAUUCCUUUGCCAAACUCAAAGCAAGGUAUACAAUAGGUCUGGUACACAGCAUAGCAUAUUUUAUGGAACCUAUGACUGAAGCAUAGGGAAUGACUUUUCAUUCUCUUUCCAUUUUCUGCCAUGGUCGGGUUUUGAGUCUUACUCAACUUCAUACCUUUGCAUCACAGGCAAGAACUCUUUUUUUGACUGUUCCAUUUUGAACUACUUCAAAAUCUUGUCAAGGUAUGUACUAAUUGAAAAUCUUAUCAAGCGUCUUGAUCUAUCUCAAUAGAUCUUGAUACUCAAUGUGUAAGCAGCUUCACCAAGGUCUUUCUUUGAAAAAUUCCUUUCAAACACUCCUUUAUGCUUUCCAGAAAAUUCUACAUCAUUUCCGAUCAACAAUAUGUCAUUCACAUAUACUUAUCAGAAAGGCUGUAGUGCUCCCACUCACUUUCUUGUAAAUACAGGCCUUUCCAAAAGUCUGUAUAAAACCAUAUGCUUUGAUCAACUCAUCAAAGCGUAUAUUCCAACUCCGAGAUGCUUGCACCAGUCCAUCGAUGUAUCGCUGGAGCUUGCAUAUUUUUUGUUAGCACCUUCAGGAUUAACAAAACCUUCUGGUUGUAUCAUAUACAACUCUUCUUUAAAAAAAUCCAUUAAGGAAUGCAGUUUUGACAUCCAUUUGCCAGAUUUCAUAAAAUGUGGCAAUUGCUAACAUGAUUCGGACAGAAUUUAAGCAUCGAUACGAGUGAGAAAAUCUCAUUGUAUUCAACACCUUGAUCUUGUCGAAAAACCUUUUGCGACAAGUUGAGCUUUGUAGAUAGUAAAACUACUAUCAGUGUCUGUCUUCCUCUUGAAGAUCCAUUUAUUUAACAUGGCUUGCUGAUCAUCGAGCAAGUCAAUCAAAGUCCAUACUUUGUUCUCAUACAUAGAUCAUAUCUCAGAUUUUAUGGCCUCAAGCCAUUUCACGGAAUGUGGGCUCAUCAUCGCUUCCUCAUAGUUCGUAAGUUCAUCAUGGUCUAGUAAUAUGACUUCCAGAAUAGGAUUACCGUACCACUCUGGUGCGGACCGUACUCUAGAAGACCUACGAGGUUCGGUAGUAACUUGAUCUGAAGCUUCAUGAUCAUCAUCAUUAGCUUCCUCACUAAUUGGUGUAGGAAUCACAGGAGCUGAUUUCUGUGAUGAACUACCUUCCAACAAGGGAGCGGGUACAGUUACCUCAUCAAGUUCUACUUCCCUCCCACUCACUUCUUUCGAGAGAAACUCCUUCUCUAGAAAGGAUCCAUUCUUAGCAACAAUGACUUUUGCCUUCGGAUCUGUGAUAGAAGGUGUACCCAACAAUUCCCUUUGGGUAUUCUAUGAAGACGCACUUCUCCGAUUUGGGUUUAAGCUUAUCUGGUUGAAACUUUUUCACAUAAGCAUCGCAGCCCCAAACUUUAAGAAACGACAACUUUGGUUUCUUGCCAAACCACAGUUCAUAAGGCGUCAUCUCAACGGAUUUUGAUGGUGCCCUUUUUAAAGUGAAUGCAACUGUCUUUAAUGCAUAACCCCAAAACGAUAAUGGUAAACCAAUAACAGACAUCAUAGGUCGCACAAUAUACAAUAAAGUGCGGUUACGACGUUCGGACACACCAUAACGUUGUGGUGUUUCCAGGUGGUGUGAACUAUGAAACUAUUCCACAUUGUUUUAUAUGAAGGCCAAACUCGUAACUCAAAUAUUCUCCUCCACGAUCAGAUCGUAGAAACUUUAUUUUCUUGUUACGACGAGUCUCCACUUCACUCUGAAAUUCUUUGAACUUUUCAAAUGUUUCAGACUUGUGUUUCAUUAAGUAGAUAUACCCAUAUCUGCUCAAAUCAUCUGUGAAGGUCAGAAAAUAAUGAUACUUGCCACAAGCAUCGACACUCAUUGGAUCACAUACAUCGGUAUGUAUUAUUUCCAAUAAGUCAGUAGCUCAUUCCAUUGUUCCGGAGAAUAGAGUUUUAGUCAUCUUGCCCAAAAGGCACGGUUCGCAAGCAUCAAAUGAUUCAUAACCAAGUGAUUCCAAAAAUCCAUAUUUAUGGAGUUUCUUCAUGCGCUUUACACCGAUAUGACCUAAACGGCAGUGCCACAAAUAUGUUGCACUAUCAUUAUCAACUUUGCAUCUUUUGGCAUCAAUAUUAUGGAUAUGUGUAUCACUACGAUCGAGAUCCAACAAACCAUUUUCAUUGGGUGUAUGACCAUUGAAGGUUUUAUUCAUUUAAACAGAACAACAAUUAUUCUCUGACUUUAAAUGAAUAACCGUAUUGCAAUAAACAUGAUCAAAUCAUAUUCAUGCUCAAUGCAAACGCCAAAUAACAUUUAUUUAGGUUUAACACUAAUCCCAAAAGUAUAGGGAGUGUACGAUGAUGAUCAUAUCAAUCUUGGAACCACUUCCAACACACAUCAUCACUUCACUCUCAACUAGUCUCUGUUUAUUCUGUAACUCCUGUUUCGAGUUACUAAUUUUUAGCAAUCGAACAAGUAUCAAAUACUCAGGGGCUACUAUAAACACUAGUAAGGUACACAUCAAUAACCUGUAUAUCAAAUAUACCUUUGUUCACAUUGCCAUCCUUCUUAUCCACCAAAUAUUCAGGGUAUUUCCGCUUCCAGUGACCAUUUCCUUUGCAGUGUAAGCACUCAGUUUCAGGCUUUGGUCUAGCUUUGGGAUUCUUCGCGGGAGUGACAACUUGCUUGUCAUUCUACUUGAAGUUCCCUUUCUUUCCCUUUGCCCUUUCUUGAAACUAGUGGUAUUGUCAAUCAUCAACACUUGAUGCUCUUUCUUGAUUUCUACCUUCAUCGAUUUCAGCAUCACGAAGAGCUCGGGAAUCGUUUACGUCAUCCCUUGCAUUUAUAGUUCAUCACGAAGUUCCAGUAACUUGGUGAUGGUGACUAGAGAACUCUGCCAAUCACUAUCUUAUCUGGAAGAUUAACUCCCACUUGAUUCAAGCGAUUGUAGUACUCAGACAAUCUAAGUACUUUCUCACUAGUUGAGCAAUUCUCCUCCAUCUUUUAGCUAUAGAACUUGUUGGAGACUUCAUAUCUCUCAACUCGGGUAUUUGCUUGAAAUAUUAACUUCAACUCCUGGAACAUCUCAUAUGGUCCAUGACGUUCAAAACGUCUUUGAAAUCCCGAUUCUAAGACGUUAAGCAUGGUGCACUUAACUAUCAAGUAGUCAUCAUAUUGAGCUAGCCAAACGUUCAUAACGUCUGCAUCUGCUCCUGCAAUAGGUCUGUCACCUAGCGGUGCAUCAAGAACAUAAUUCUUCUAUGCAACAAUGAGGAUAAACCUCAGAUCACGGAUCCAAUCCUCAUCAUUUCUACUAACAUCUUUCAACACAAUUUUCUCUAGGAACAUAUCAAAAUAAACAUAUGAAAGCAACAACGCAAGCUAUUGAUUUAGAACAUAAUUUGCAAAAUACUACCAGGACUAAGUUCAUGAUAAAUUAAAGUUCAAUUAAUCAUAUUACUUAAGAACUCCCACUUAGAUAGACACCCCUCUAAUCCUCUAAGUGAUCACGUGAUCCAAAUCAACUAAACCAUGUCCGAUCAUCACGUGAGAUGGAGUAGUUUCAAUGGUGAACGUCACUAUGUUGAUCAUAUCUACUAUAUGAUUCACGCUCGACCUUUCGGUCUCCGUGUUUCGAGGCCAUAUCUGUUAUAUGCUAGGCUCGUCAAGUUUAACCUGAAUAUUCCGUGUGUGCAACUGUUUUGCACCCAUUGUAUUUGAACGUAGAUCCUAUCACACCCGAUCAUCAUGUGGUGUCUCAGCACGAAGAACUUUCACAACGGUGCAUACUCAGGGAGAACACUUCUUGAUAAUUUAGCGAGGGAUCAUCUUAAAAUGCUACCGUCAAUCAAAGCAAGAUAAGAUGCAUAAAACAUAAACAUCACAUGCAGUCAAUAUAAGUGAUAUGAUAUGGCCAUCAUCAUCUUGUGCUUGUGAUCUCCAUCUCCGAAGCACCGUCGUGAUCACCAUCGUCACCGGCGCGACACCUUGAUCUCCAUUGUAGCAUCGUUGUCGUUACGCCAUCUAUUUCUUCUACGACUAUCGCUACCGCUUAGUGAUAAAGUAAAGCAAUUACAGGGCGUUUGCAUUUCAUACAAUAAAGCGACAACCAUAUGGCUCCUGCCAGUUGCCGAUAACUUCGGUUACAAAACAUGAUCAUCUCAUACAAUAAAAUAUAGCAUCACAUCUUGACCAUAUCACAUCACAACAUGCCCUACAAAAACAAGUUAGACGUCCUCUACUUUGUUGUUGCAAGUUUUACGUGGCUGCUACGGGCUUAGCAAGAAAUGUUCUUACCUAUGCAUCAAAACCACAACGAUAGUUUGUCAAGUUGGUGCUGUUUUAACCUUCGCAAGGACCGGGCGUAGCCACACUCGGUUCAACUAAAGUUGGAGAAACUGACACCCGCCAGCCACCUAUGUGCAAAGCACGUCGGUAGAACCAGUCUCGCGUAAGCGUACGCGUAAUGUAGGUCCGGGCCGCUUCAUCCAACAAUACCGCCGAACCAAAGUAUGACAUGCUGGUAAGCAGUAUGACUUGUAUCGCCCACAACUCACUUGUGUUCUACUCGUGCAUAUAACAUCAACGCAUAAAACCUGGCUUGGAUGCCACUGGUGGGGAACUUAGUAAUUUCAAAAUUUUCCUACGCACACGCAAGAUCAUGGUGAUGCAUAGCAACGAGAGGGAAGAGUGUGUCCACGUACCCUCAUAGACCGAAAGCGGAAGCGUUAGAACAACGCGGUUGAUGUAGUCGUACGUCUUCACGGCCCGACUGAUCAAGCACCGAAACUACGGCACCUCUGAGUUCUAGCACACGUUCAGCUCGAUGACGUCCUUCGAACUUCAAUCCAGCCGAGUGUCGAGGGAGAGUUCCGUCAGCACGACGGCGUGAUAACGAUCUUGAUGUUCUACCGUCACAGGGCUUCGCUUAAGCACCGCUACAAUAUUAUCAAGGAGGACUAUGGUGGAGGGGGGCACCGCACACGGCUAAGAGAUCCAAGGGAUCAAUUGUGGUUAUGUCUAGAGGUGCCCCCCUGCCCCCGUAUAUAAAGGAGCUAGGAGGAGGGGUUCGGUCGGCCAGGAGGGGCGCGCCAGGACGAGUCCUCCUCCCACCGGGAGUAGGACUCCCCCCCUUCCUUGUUGGAGUAGGAGAGAAGGAAAGAGGGGGAGAGGAGGAAGGAAAAGGGGGCUGCACCCCUUGUCCAAUUCGGACCAGAGGGGGGCUGCGCUCCUCCUUCCUUUCGGCCUCUCUCCUCUAGUCCCGUAUGGCCCAAUAAGGCCCAUAUACUCCCCGACGAAUUCCCAUAACUCUCUAGUACUCCGAAAAAUACCCGAAUCACUCGGAACCUUUCCGAACUCCGAAUAUAGUCGUCCAAUAUAUCGAUCUUUACAUCUCGACCAUUUUGAGACUCCUCGUCAUGUCCCCGAUCUCAUCCGAGACUCCGAACUCCUUCGGUACAUCAAAACUCAUAAACUCAUAAUAUAACUAUCAUCGAAACCUUAAGCGUGCGGACCCUACGGGUUCGAGAACAAUGUAGACAUGACCGAAACACGUUUCCGAUCAAUAACCAAUAGCGGAACCUGGAUGCUCAUAUUGGCUCCCACAUAUUCUACGAAGAUCUUUAUCGGUCAGACUACAUAACAACAUACGUUGUUCCCUUUGUCAUCGGUAUGUUACUUGCCCGAGAUUCGAUCGUCGGUAUCUCAAUACCAAGUUCAAUCUCGUUAUCGGCAAGUAUCUUUACUCGUUCCGUAAUACAUCAUCCCGCAACUAACUCAUUAGUUGCAAUGCUUGCAAGUCUUAAGUGAUGUGCAUUACCGAGUGGGCCCAGAGAUACCUCUCCGACAAUCGAAGUGACAAAUCCUAAUCUCGAAAUACGCCAACCCAACAAGUACCUUCGGAGACACCUGUAGAGCACCUUUAUAAUAACCCAGUUACGUUGUGACGUUUGGUAGCACACAAAGUGUUCCUCCGGUAAACAGGAGUUGCAUAAUCUCAUAGUCAUAGGAACAUGUAUAAGUCAUGAAGAAAGCAACAACAACAUAAUAAACGACCGGGUGCUAUGCUAAUGGAGUGGGUCAUGUCAAUCACAUCAUUCUCCUAAUGAUGUGAUCCCGUUAAUCAAAUGACAACUCAUGUCUAUGGCUAGGAAACGUAACCAUCUUUGAUUCAACGAGCUAGUCAAGUAGAGGCAUACUAGUGACCGUAUGUUUGUCUAUGUAUUCACACAUGUAUUAUGUUUCCGGUUAAUACAAUUCUAGCAUGAAUAAUAAACAUUUAUCAUGAAAUAAGGAAAUAAAUAAUAACUUUAUUAUUGCCUCUAGGGCAUAUUUCCUUCAUCCUCCUCCUCGCUCAUGGCCCUUUAUGGUACUCUCAGUUGCAGUCUGUGUCACGAACCGGUCCCGAGGGUGGCCCUGAAUCUCCUUGCUUUAUGUCCAGUCCGUGGAACGAUUGCUGGCACGCACAAUUGACGAUGAAAUACCAAGAAAUAAUGCAUGUCAUAUAUUGUCAAAGUUAAUGGAGCUAGCUCAAAUUCGUUCGCACCAUCACGUGGGUUAUGGCAGGGAGACCAGUUAUCAACGUUUCUAUUCUUAUUUGUUGUUGAUGGUCUCGCCGUUAUUUUAAAACAUAAAGUGUGAUACGUCUCCAACGUAUCUAUAAUUUUUGAUUGUUCCAUGCUAUUAUGUUACCCGUUUUGUAUGUUUAUGGGCUUUACUUUACACAUUUAUAUCAUUUUUGGGACUAACCUACUAACCGGAGGCCCAACCCAUAUUGCUGUUUUUUUGCCUAUUUCAGUGUUUCGAAGAAAAGGAAUAUCAAACGGAUUCCAAACGGAACGAAACCUUCAGGAGCGUGAUUUUUGGAAUGAACGUGAUCCAGAGGACUUGGAGUGCAAGUCAAGAAGCAAUCGAGGAGGCCACGAGGGUGGAGGGCGCCCCCCCUACUAGGCGCGCUCCCCUAUCUCGUGGGCCCCUCGGGCAUCCACCGACCUACUUCUUCCUCCUAUAUAUACCCACGUACCCCGAAAACAUCAGAGGCGACCACGAAAAACUAUUUCCACCACCAUAACCUUCUGUAUCCGCGAGAUCCCAUCUUGGAGCCUUCGCCGGCGCUCCGUCAGAGGGGGAAUCGGCCAUGGAGGGCUUCUACAUCAACACCAUAGCCUCUCCGAUGAGUUGUGAGUAGUUUACCAUAGACCUUCGGGUCCAUAGUUAUUAGCUAGAUGGCUUCUUCUCUCUCUUUGAAUCUCAAUAACAUGUUCUCCUCGAUCUUCUUGGAGAUCUAUUCGAUGUAACUCUUUUUGCGGUGUGUUUGUCGAGAUCCGAUGAAUUGUGGGUUUAUGAUCAAGUUUAUCUAUGAGAAAUAUUUGAAUCUCCUCUGAAUUCUUUUAUGUGUGAUUAAGUUAUCUUUGCAAGUUUCUUUGAAUUAUCAGUUUGAUUUAGCCUACUAGAUUGAUCUUUCUUGCAAUGGGAGAAAUGCUUAGCUUUGGGUUCAAUCUUGCGGCGUCCUUUCCCAGUGACAGUAGGGGCAGCAAGGCACGUAUUGUAUUGUUGCCAUCGAGGAUAAAAAGAUGGGAUUCGUAUCAUAUUGCAUGAGUUUAUCCCUCUACAUCAUGUCAUCUUUCUUAAUGCAUUACUCUGUUCUUUAUGAACUUAAUACUCUAGAUGCAUGCUGGAUAGCGGCCGAUGUGUGGAGUAAUAGUAGUAGAUGCAGGCCGGAGUCGGUCUACUUGUCAGAGACGUGAUGCCUAUAUACAUGAUCAUGCCUAGAUAAUCUCAUAAUUAUUCUCUUUUCUAUCAAUUGCUCGACAGUAAUUUGUUCACCCACCGUAAUACUUAUGCUAUCUUGAGAGAAGCCACUAGUGAAACCUAUGGCCCCCGGGUCUAUCUUUUAUCAUAUAAGUUUUCAAUCUACUUUUAUUUGCAUCUUUACUUUUUCAAUCUAUAUUAUAAAAUACCAGAAAUAUAUUUAUCUUAUCAUAUUAUCUCUAUCAGAUCUCACUUUCGCAAGAGGUCGUGAAGGGAUUGACAACCCCUUUAUUGCGUUGGUUGUGAGUUAUUGUUUGUUUGUGUAGGUGCAUGGGACUUUUGAGGAGCCUCCUAUUGGAUUGAUACCUUGGUUCUCAAAAACUGAGGGAAAUACUUACGUUACCAUUGCUGCAUCACCCUUUCCUCUUCAAGGAAAACCAGCGCAAACUCAAGAUGUAGGAAGAAGGAUUUCUGGCGCCAUUGCCGGGGAGGUCUCCGCUCAAGUCAAGAUAUACCAAGUACCCAUCACAAACUCAUCUCCCUCGCAUUUACAUUAUUUGCCAUUUGCCUCUCGUUUUCCUCUCCCCCACUUCACCCUUGCCGUUUUAUUCGCCCUCUCUUUCCCAAUCUCCUCUCUCUUUCGCUUGCCUUUUUGUUUGCUCGUGUGUUAGAUCGUUUACCUUGUCGUAAUGGCUACUCAUCCUAUUAUCGUUAACACUCCCGAUCAUGAAGUUCUUAAUUUUAAACAAAGGAAGGGAGAAAACUUAAAGGAUGCUUGGCAUAGAAUUUGCAAUGCUUAAAAUAGAUCUACUAGGAAGCAAUCCACUUCCAUUCUUCUUCGCAAUUUUUAUGUAGGCAUUACUCCUUGGAAUAGAUAUAUUCUUGAUACCAUUACCGGAGGGAAUUUCUUGGGUAGCCACACUUUUGAUGCUUAUAAUUCCAUGUUAGAUUUGUUUGGUCCACCCCCUCUUUUGGUUAAUGGAACUAUCUUAACUUUGGAACAUGUGAUGCAAAGGCUUGAAAUUUUAUUUGUGUUUUUUGUUUUUGUUUCUGUUUAGUAAUAAAUUUUUGCAUCUACCUUCUGUUUAUAUGUGUUUUUAUGUUUUAAUUAGUGUUUGUGCCAAGUAGAACCUAUAGGAUAACCUAUGGUGAUAGUUAAUUUGAUUCUGCUGAAAAACAGAAAUUUGCGCGCACGAAAAUAAUUUUAGUAAUUCACAGAAACGUGACUUUGCGUUGAUUCUUUUUUCUGUAGAUCAAUAGACAAAUUUCCCAGGACCUCCUAUUUUUGUAGGAGUUUUAAAGUUCCAUAAGUAUUCGAGAGUUACAGAUUGCUACAGACUGUUCUGUCUUUGACAGAUUCUGUUUUUCGUGUGUUGUUUGCUUAUUUUGAUGCAUCUAUGGCUAGUAGUAAGUAGUAUGAACCAUAGAGAACUUGGAAAACAGUAGGUUUAACACCCAUACAAAUAAAUAAUGAGUUCAUUACAGUACUUAUGUGUUGGUUUUUUCUUUCUUUCACUAACGGAGCUUAUGAGAUUUCCUGUUGAGUUUUGUGUUCUGAAGUUUUCAAGUUUUGGGUAAAUAUUUGAUGGACUAUGGAAUAAGGAGUGGCAAGAGCCUAAGCUUUUAGAUGCCCAUGGCACCCCAAGAUAUUCAAGAAUAUCCAAAAGCCUAAGCUUGGGGAUGCCCAGGGAAGGCAUCCCCUCUUUCGUCUUCGUUUAUCGGUAACUUUACUUGGAGCUAUAUUUUUAUUCGCCACAUGAUAUGUGUUUUGCUUGGAGUGUCUUGUAUGAUAUUAGUCUUUGCCUUUUAGUUUACCACAAUCAUCCUUGCCGUACAUACCUUUUGGGAGAAACCCACUUGAUCGGAAUUUAUUAGAAUACUCUAUGUGCUUCACUUAUAUCUUUUGAGCUAAAUAGUUUUUGCUCUAGUGCUUCACUUAUAUCUUUUAGAGCACGGCAGUGGCUUAAUUUUGUAGAAAUUGUUAGUCUCUCUUGCUUCACUUAUAUUAUUUUGAGAGUCUUUUAUAACAGCAUGGUAUUUGCUAUGGUUAUGAAAUUGGUCCUAGAAUGAUGAGCAUCCAAGUUGGGUAUAAUAAAAACUAUCAUAGGAAGUGAAUUGGAUGCUAUGAUCAAUUUGAUACUUGAUAAUUGUUUUGAGAUAUGGAAGUAGUGAUAUUAGAGUCAUGCUAGUUGGGUGAUUAUGAAUUUAAAGAAUGCUUGUGUUGAAGUUAGCAAGUCCCGUAGCAUGCACGUAUGGUGAAAGUUGUGUAACAAAUUGAAACAUGAGGUGUUCUUAGAUUGUGCGUCCUUAUUAGUGGCGGUCGGGGACGAGUGAUGGUCUUUUCCUACCAAUCUAUCCCCCUAGGAGCAUGCGCGUAGUGCUUGGUUUUUGAUGACUUGUAGAUUUUGGCAAUAAGUAUAUGAGUUCUUUUUGACUAAUGUUGAGUCCAUGGAUUAUACGCACUCUCACCUUUCCAUCAUUGCUAGCCUCUUCGAUACCGUGCAUUGCCCUUUCUCACCUUAAGAGUUGGUGCAAACUUCACUGGUGCAUCCAAAACCCGUGAUAUGAUACGCUCUAUCACACAUAAACCUCCUUAUAUCUUCCUCAAAACAGCCACCGUACCUACCUAUUAUGGCAUUUCCAUAGCCAUUCCGAGAUAUAUUGCCAUGCAACUUUCCACCGUUCCGUUUAUCAUCAUGACACGCAUCAUCAUUGUCAUAUUGCCUUGCAUGAUCAUGUAGGUGACAUCGUAUUUGUGGCAAAGCCCCCAUGCAUAAUUUUUCAUACAUGUCACUAUUGAUUCAUUGCCCUUACCGGUACACCACCGGAGGCAUUCAUAUAGAGUCAUAUCUUGUUCUAGUUUUGAGUUGUAAUUCAUGAGUUGUAAAUAAAUAGAAGUGUGAUGAUCAUCAUUAUUAGAGCAUUGUCCCCAAAUAAAAAAAGAAAGGCCAAAUAAAAAAAGGCCAAAAAAGGAAAGGCCCAAAAAAAAGGGGGGGGGGGCAAUGUUACUAUCUCUUUUUCCACACUUGUGCUUCAAAGUAGCACCAUGUUCUUCAUAUAGAAAGUCUUUUAUGUUGUCACUUUCAUAUACUAGUGGGAAUUUUUCAUUAUAGAACUUGGCUUGUAUAUUCCUACGAUGGGCUUCCUUAAAAUGCCCUAGGUCUUCGUGAGCAAGCAAGUUGGAUGCACGCCCACUAGUUUUUUUUGUUGAGCUUUCAUACAUUUAUAGCUCUAGUUCAUCUGUUGCAUGGCAAUCCCUACUCCUCAUGUUAACAUCAAUUGAUGGGCAUCUCCAUAGCCCGUUGAUUAUCCUCGUCAAUGUGAGACUUUCUCCUUUUUUGUCUUCUCCACACAAUCCCCAUUAUCAUAGUCUAUUCCACCCAUAGUGCUAUAUCCAUGGCUCAUGCUCAUGUAUUGCGUGAAAGUUGAAAAAGUUUGAGAUUAUUUAAGUACGAAACAAUUGCUUGGCUUGUCAUCGGGGUGUACAAGAUGGGAGCAUUUUUGUGUGACGAAAAUGAAGCAUAGCCUAACUAUAUGAUUUUGUAGGGAUGAACUUUCUUUAGCCAUGUUAUUUUGAGAAGACAUGAUUGCUUUGAUUAGUAUGCUUGAAGUAUUACUAUUUCUUAUGUCAAUAUGAACUUUUAUUUUGAAUCAUUUGGAUCUGAACAUUCAUGCCACAAUAAAGAAAAUUACAUUGAGAAUUAUGCUAGGUAGCAUUCCACAUCAAAAAUUCUGUUUUUAUCAUUUACCUACUCGAGGACGAGCAGGAAUUAAGCUUGGAGAUGCUUGAUACAUCUCCAACGUAUCUAUAAUUUUUUAUUUUUCCAUGCUAUUAUAUUACCCGUUUUCGAUGUUUAUGGGCUUUACUUUACACAUUUAUAUCAUUUUUGGAACUAACCUACUAACCGGAGGCCCAGCCCGUAUUGCUGUUUUUUGCCUAUUUUAGUGUUUCGAAGAAAAGGAAUAUCAAACGGAGUCCAAACGGAAUGAAACCUUCGGGAGUGUGAUUUUUGGAACGAACGUGAUCUAGAGGACUUGGAGUGCAAGUCAACAAGCAAUCGAGGAGGCCAUGAGGGUGGAGCCCCCCCUACUGGGUGUGCCCCCUAUCUCGUGGGCCCUUUGGGCGUCCACCGACCUACUUCUUCCUCCUAUAUAUACCCACGUACCCCGAAAACAUCUGGAUCGACCACGAAAAACUAUUUCCACCACCGUAACCUUCUGUAUCCGCGAUAUCCCAUCUUGGAGCCUUCGUCGGUGCUCCGUCGGAGGGGGGAUCGACCACGGAGGGCUUCUACAUCAACACAAUAGCCUCUUCGAUGAGUUGUGAGUAGUUUACCACAGACCUUCGGGUCCAUAGUUAUUAGCUAUAUGGCUUCUUCUCUCUCUUUGAAUCUCAAUACCAUGUUCUCCUCGAUCUUCUUGGAGAUCUAUUCGAUGUAACUCUUUUUGCGGUGUGUUUGUCGAGAUCCGAUGAAUUGUGGGUUCAUGAUCAAGUUUAUCUAUGAGAAAUAUUUGAAUCUCCUCUGAAUUCUUUUAUGUGUGAUUAAGUUAUCUUUGCAAGUCUCUUCGAAUUAUCAGUUUGGUUUGGCCUACUAGAUUGAUCUUUCUUGCAAUGGGAGAAGUGCUUAGCUUUGGGUUCAAUCUUGCGGUGUCCUUUCCCAGUGACAGCAGGGGCAGCAAGGCACGUAUUGUAUUGUUGCCAUCGAGGAUAAAAAGAUGGGGUUUAUAUCAUAUUGCAUGAGUUUAUCCCUCUACAUCAUGUCAUCUUUCUUAAUGCGUUACUCUGUUCUUUAUGAACUUAAUACUCUAGAUGCAUGCUGGAUAGCGGUCGAUGUGUGGAGUAAUGGUAGUAGAUGCAGGCAUGAGUCGGUCUACUUUUCACGAACGUGAUGCCUAUAUACAUGAUCAUGCCUAGAUAAUCUCAUAAUUAUUCGCUUUUCUAUCAAUUGCUCGACAGUAAUUUGUUCACCCACCGUAAUACUUAUGCUAUCUUGAGAGAAGCCACUAGUGAAACCUAUGGCCCCCGGGUCUAUCUUUUAUCAUAUAAGCUUCCAAUCUACUUUUAUUUGCAUCUUUAUUUUUCCAAUCUAUAUUAUAAAAUACCAAAAAUAUAUUUAUCUUAUCAUAUUAUCUCUAUCAGAUCUCACUUUCGCAAGUGGCCGCGAAGGGAUUGACAACCCCUUUAUUGCGUUGGUUGCGAGUUCUUGUUUGUUUGUGUAGGUGCGUGGGAGUUUUGAGGAGCCUCCUACUGGAUUGAUACCUUUGUUCUCAAAAACUGAGGGAAAUACUUACGUUACCAUUGCUGCAUCACCCUUUCCUCUUCAACGAAAACCAACGCAAGCUCAAGACGUAGCAAAGUGCAACAAGGACGGGUCACCUCAGUGUUUGUGUGUGUGUGUGUGUGUGUGUGUCAGGGCGCCGAGUAUAUCACGCUUGCUAUUUCCGGAUGGCACAUUACUUUUUUUCCUGCCACAACAAUAGAAGGUAUGGAAGUAUGAGAUGCUCUUGCUAUCUAUAGAAGGAAUACAUGACAAUUUAUAAACCCCGCAAAGUGCUCUAUCUUAUUUGGGAACAGGUGCUGACCUGCUGAUCAAGCUACUUUAUCCCUGGCAUUGAAGGUGCAGAAUCUACAUUUUGAGGAGCGCUACCUUGGGCUCCUUACACCCACUGGCUGGAUGUCUAAGGGCCGGUUCCAAAGCUUACAAGAGCAACUCAGUAAGAGGAUUCUGGCUGGGGAAAAGGCGCAUCACAAGGAGGGAAACAAAUAUUGAUUAAAGUUGUUGUCCAGUCCUUGCCCACGUACUUGAUGGGGGUGUUCUCGCUACCGCGUAGUGUUUGUGAUGAUCUCACACGAAUGGUAAGAAAUUUCUAGUGUGGGCGAAGGAAGGAAGAAGAAAGAUGCACUAAAGGGCAUGGGAUACCAUGAUCAAGCCGAAGGAGCAGGGCUGGCUCGGUUUUCAGGACUCUUGCUUGUUCAACCAAGUGUUGCUCGCACGUCAUGUUUGGUGCCUUAUCUCUAACCUCGGUAGCUUGUGUGCGCGGGUACUAAAGGCUUGAUAUUGCCCUGAUGGACGCCUUGAGGACACGGUCUUCUCUAGCAAUGCUUCAACCACUUGGCAGUCCAUCAUCCAUGGCCUUUAUCUCCUCAAGAAGGCCCAAUCCGACCCAUUAGUGGUGGUGCGUCAGUCCACAUUUAGCGUGACAUGUGGAUUCCUCAUCCGCAACCCAUGUCCCGGUCUCCUUGCGAGGCCAAUGCCAUCUUAGGAGAGUUAGCUAGCUACUGGAUGGACAUGCAUGCAAACUGGAAGGUUGCUAUUGCAGCAACAUUCCCUACAAACAGAUGCGACAUAGUCUCUGAAAAUCAAUGCUUCGCCUGUUGGGGAACGUAGUAAUUUCAAAAAAAAACAUUCCUACGCACACGCAAGAUCAUGGUGAUGCAUAGCAAUGAGAGGGGAGAGUAAUGUCCACGUACCCUCGUAGACCGUAAGCGGAAGCAUUAUGACAACGCGGUUGAUGUAGUCGUACGUCUUCACGAUCCGACCGAUCCAAGUACCGAACGUACGGCACCUCCGAGUUCAGCACACGUUCAGCUCGAUGACGAUCCCCGGACUCCGAUCCAGCAAAUUGUCGGGGAUGAGUUCUGUCAGCACAACGGCGUGGUGACGAUGAUGAUGUUCUACCGGCGUAGGGCUUCGCCUAAACUCCGCGACGAUAUGACCAAGGUGGAAUAUGGUGGAGGGGGGCACCACACACGGCUAAGGAACGAUCACGUAGAUCAACUUGUGUGUUCUAGGGUGCCCCCUGCCCCCGUAUAUAAAGGAGCAAGGGGGGGUGCGGCCAGCCCUAGGAGGAGGCACGCCGGAGGAGUCCUACUCCCACCGGGAGUAGGACUCCCCCCUUUCCCUAGUUGGACUAGGACUUGGGGGGAAGNNNNNNNNNNNNNNNNNNNNNNNNNNNNNNNNNNNNNNNNNNNNNNNNNNNNNNNNNNNNNNNNNNNNNNNNNNNNNNNNNNNNNNNNNNNNNNNNNNNNNNNNNNNNNNNNNNNNNNNNNNNNNNNNGGGGGGCGCCGCCCCCCUCCUUGUCCUAUUCGGACUUGGGGGGGGGGGGGGGGGCGCGCGGCUGUCCCUAGGCCUCCUCUCCUCUUCCUCCAUUAGGCCCAAUAAGGCCCAUUAGGUCACCGGGGGGUUCCGGUAACCUCCCGGUACUCCGGUAAAAUGCCGAUUUCACCCGGAACACUUCGGAUGUCCAAACAUAGGCUUCCAAUAUAUCAAUCUUUAUGUCUCGACCAUUUCGAGACUCCUCGUCAUGUCCGUGAUCACAUCCAGGACUCCGAACAAACUUCGGUACAUCAAAACUUAUAAACUAAUAAUAAAACUGUCAUCGUAAUGUUAAGCGUGCGGACCCUACGGGUUCGAGAACUAUGUAGACAUGACCUAGAACUAUUCUCGGUCAAUAACCAAUAGCGGAACCUGGAUGCUCAUAUUGGCUCCUACAUAUUCUACGAAGAUCUUUAUCGGUCAAACCGCAUAACAACAUACGUUGUUCCCUUUGUCAUCGGUAUGUUACUUGCCCGAGAUUCGAUCAUCGGUAUCCAAUACCUAGUUCAAUCUCGUUACCGGCAAGUCUCUUUACUCGUUACAUAAUGCAUCAUUCCAUAACUAACUCAUUAGCUACAUUGCUUGCAAGGCUUAUAGUGAUGUGUAUUACCGAGAGGGCCCAGAGAUACCUCUCCGACAAUCGGAGUGACAAAACCUAAUCUCGAAAUACGCCAACCCAACAUGUACCUUUGGAGACACCUGUAGUACUCCUUUAUAAUCACCCAGUUACGUUGUGACGUUUGGUAGCACCCAAUGUGUUCCUCCGGUAAACGGGAGUUGCAUAAUCUCAUAGUUACAGGAACAUGUGUAAGUCAUGAAGAAAGCAAUAGCAAUAUACUAACCGAUCAAGUGCUAGGCUAACGGAAUAGGUCAUGUCAAUCACAUCAUUCUCCUAAUGAUGUGAUCCCGUUAAUCAAAUGACAACACAUGUCUAUGGUUAGGAAACAUAACCAUCUUUGAUUAAUGAGCUAGUCAAGUAGAGGCAUACUAGUGACGUUAUGUGGGUCUAUGUAUUCACACAUGUAUUAUGUUUCGGUUAAUACAAUUCUAGCAUGAAUAAUAAACAUUUAUCAUGAUAUGAGGAAAUAAAUAACAACUUUAUUAUUGCCUCUAGGGCAUAUUUCCUUCAGUCUCCCACUUGCACUAGAGUCAAUAAUCUAGAUUACACAGUAAUGAUUCUAACACCCAUGGAGUCUUGGUGCCGAUCAUGUUUUGCUCGUGGAAGAGGCUUAGUCAAUGGGUCUGCAACAUUCAGAUCCGUAUGUAUUUUGCAAAUCUCUAUGUCUCCCACCUGGACUUGAUCCCGGAUGGAAUUGAAGCGUCUCUUGAUGUGCUUGGUCCUCUUGUGAAAUCUGGAUUCUUUUGCCAAGGCAAUUGCACCAGUAGUGUCACAGAAGAUCUUCAUUGGUCCCGAUGCACUAGGUAUGACACCUAGAUCGGAAAUGAACUCCUUCAUCCAGACUCCUUCAUUUGCUGCUUCUGAAGCAGCUAUGUACUCCGCUUCACAUGUAGAUCCCGCCACGACGCUUUGUUUAGAACUACACCAACUUACAGCUCCACCGUUUAAUAAAAACACGUAUCCAGUUUGCGAUUUAGAAUCGUCCGGAUCAGUGUCAAAGCUUGCAUCGACGUAACCAUUUACGACUAGCUCUUUGUCACCUCCAUAUACGAGAAACAUAUCCUUAGUCCUUUUCAGGUAUUUCAGGAUGUUCUUGACCGCUGUCUAUGUUGGGGAACGUAGUAAUUUCAAAAAAUUUCCUACGCACACGCAAGAUCAUGGUGAUGGCAUAGCAACGAGAGGGGAGAGUGUUGUCCACGUACCCUCGUAGACCGUAAGAGGAAGCGUUAGCACAACGCGGUUGAUGUAGUCGUACGUCUUCAUGAUCCGACCGAUCCAAGCACCGAACGUACGACACCUCCGAGUUCAGCACACGUUCAGCUCGAUGACAAUCCCCGGGCUCCGAUCCAGCAAAGCUUCGGGGAUGAGUUCCGUCAGCAUGAUGGCGUGGUGACGGUGAUGAUGUACUACCGGCGCAGGGCUUCGCCUAAACUCCGCGACGAUAUGACCGAGGUGGAAUAUGGUGGAGGGGGGCACCGCACACGGCUAAGGAAUGAUCCGUAGAUCAACUUGUGUGUUAUGGGGUGCCCCCUGCCCCCGUAUAUAAAGGAGGGAGGGGGAGGUGCGGCCGGCCCCCUUGGGGUGCGCCUGGAGGAGUCCUACUCCCACCGGGAGUAGGACUCCCCCCUCUUGCCUUGGUGGAGAAGGAAAGGGGGGAGGGGAAAGAGGAAAGGGGGCGCCGCCCCCCCUCCUUGUCCUAUUCAGACUAGGGGGGGAGGGGACGCGCGGCCUGCCCUGGCCGGCCCUCCUCUUCUCCCUCAUGGCCCACUAAGGCCCAUUAACCCCCGGGAGGGUUCCGGUAACCCCCCGGUGUUCCGGUAAAUUCCCGAUUUCACCCGGAACCUUUCCGAUGUCCAAACAUAGGCUUCCCAUAUAUCAAUCUUUAUGUCUCGACCAUUUCGAGACUCCUCGUCAUGUUCGUGAUCACAUCCGGAACUCCGAACAAACUUCGAUACAUCAAAACUUAUAAACUCAUAAUAAAACUGUCAUCGUAACGUUAAGCGUGCGGACCCUACGGGUUCGAGAACUAUGUAGACAUGACCUAGAACUAUUCUCGGUCAAUAACCAAUAGCGGAACCUGGAUGCCCAUAUUGGUUCCUACAUAUUCUACGAAGAUCUUUAUCGGUCAAACCGCAUAACAACAUACAUUGUUCCCUUUGUCAUCGGUAUGUUACUUGCCCAAGAUUUGAUCGUCGGUAUCCAAUACCUAGUUCAAUCUCGUUACCGGCAAGUCUCUUUACUCGUUCCGUAAUGCAUCAUCCCGUAACCAACUCAUUUGGUCACAUUGCUUGCAAGGCUUAUAAUGAUGUGCAUUACCGAGAGGGCCCAGAGAUACCUCUCCGACAAUCGGAGUGACAAAACCUAAUCUCGAAAUACGCCAACUCAACAUGUACCUUCGGAGACACCUGUAGUACUCCUUUAUAAUCACCCAGUUACAUUGUGACGUUUGGUAGUACCCAAAGUGUUCCUCCGGUAAACGGGAGUUGCAUAAUUCUCAUAGUUACAGGAACAUGUAUAAGUCAUGAAGAAAGCAAUAGCAAUAUACUAAACGAUCAAGUGCUAGGCUAACGGAAUGGGUCAUGUCAAUCACAUCAUUCUCCUAAUGAUGUGAUCCCAUUAAUCAAAUGACAACACAUGUCUAUGGUUAGGAAACAUAACCAUCUUUGAUUAACGAGCUAGUCAAGUAGAUGCAUACUAGUGACUAUAUGUUGGUCUAUGUAUUCACACAUGUAUUAUGUUUCCGGUUAAUACAAUUCUAUCAUGAAUAAUAAACAUUUAUCAUGAUAUAAGGAAAUAAAUAAUAACUUUAUUAUUGCCUCUAGGGCAUAUUUCCUUCAGUCUAGUGAUCCACUCCUGGAUUACUUUGGUACCUUCCUACUAAGCUUAUUGCUAAGCACACAUCAGGUCUGGUACACAGCAUUGCAUACACGAUAGAGCCUAUGGCUGAAGCAUAGGGAACAUCUUUCAUUUUCUCUCUAUCUUCUGCUGUCGUCGGCCAUUGAGUUUGACUCAACUUCACACCUUGUAGUACGGGCAAGAACCCUUUCUUUGCCUGAUCCAUUUUGAACUUUUUCAAAACUUUAUCAAGGUAUGUGCUUUGUGAAAGUCCAAUUAAGCGUCUUGAUCUAUCUCUAUAAAUCUUGAUGCCCAAUAUAUAAGCAGCUUCACCGAGGUCUUUCAUAGAAAAACUUUUAUUCAAGUAUCCCUUUAUGCUAUCCAGAAAUUCUAUAUCAUUUCAACUAAUAAUAUGUCAUCUACAUAUAAUAUCAGAAAUGCUACAGAGCUCCCACUCACUUUCUUGUAAAUACAGGCUUCUCCAAAAGUCUGUAUAAAACCAUAUGCUUUGAUCACACUAUCAAAGCGUUUAUUCCAACUCCGAGAUGCUUGCACCAGUCCAUAAAUGGAUCGCUGGAGCUUGCACACUUUGUUAGAAUCUUUUGGAUCAACAAAACCUUCUGGCUGCAUCAUAUACAACUCUUCUUCCAGAAAUCCAUUCAAAAAUGCAGUUUGACAUCCAUUUGCCAAAUUUCAUAAUCAUAAAAUGCAGCAAUUGCUAACAUGAUUCGGACAGACUUAAGCAUCGCUACGGGUGAGAAAGUCUCAUCGUAGUCAACCCCUUGAACUUGUCGAAAACCUUUUGCAACAAGUCGAGCUUUAUAGACAGUUACAUUACCAUCAGCGUCAGUCUUCUUCUUAAAAAUCCUUUUAUUCUCAGUGGCUUGCCGAUCAUCGGGAAAGUCAACCAAAGUCCAUACUUUUUUCUCAUACAUGGAUCCCAUCUCAGAUUUCAUGGCCUCUAGCCAUUUUGCGGAAUCUGGACUCAUCAUCGCUUCCUCAUAGUUCGUAAGGUCAUCAUGGUCAAGUAACAUGACUUUCAGAAUAGGAUUACCGUACCACUCUGGUGCGGAUCUUACUCUGGUAGACCUACGAGGUUCAGUAGAAACUUGAUCUGAAGUUUCAUGAUCAAUAUCAUUAGCUUCCUCACUGAUUGGUGUAGUUGUCACAGGAACCGGUUCUUGUGAUGAACUACUUUCCAAUAAGGGAGCAGGUACAGUUACCUCAUCAAGUUCUACUUUCCUCCCACUCACUUCUUUCGAGAGAAACUCCUUCUCUAGAAAGGAUCCGAAUUUUGCAACAAAAAGCUUGCCUUCAGAUCUGUGAUAGAAGGUGUACCCAACAGUCUCUUUUGGGUAUCCUAUGAAGACACAUUUCUCUUAUUUGGGUUCAAGCUUAUCUGGUUGAAGUUUCUUCACAUAAGCAUCGCAGCCCCAAACUUUAAGAAAUGACAACUUUGGUUUCUUGCCUAACCACAGUUCAUGAGGCGUCGUCUCAACGGAUUUUGAUGGUGCCCUAUUUAACGUGAAUGCGGCCGUCUCUAAAGCAUAACCCCAAAACGAUAGCGGUAAAUCAGUAAGAGACAUCAUAGAUCACACCAUAUCUAGUAAAGUACGAUUAUGACGUUCGGACACACCAUUUCGUUGUGGUGUUCCGGGUGGCGUGAGUUGCGAAACUAUUCCGCAUUGUUUCAAAUGUAAACCAAACUCGUAACUCAAAUAUUCUCCUCCACGAUCAGAUCGUAGAAAUUUUAUUUUCUUGUUACGAUGAUUUUCCACUUCACUCUUAAAUUCUUUGAACUUUUCAAAUGUUUCAGACUUGUGUUUCAUUAAGUAGAUAUACCCAUAUCUGCUCAAAUCAUCUGUGAAUGUGAGAAAAUAACGAUACCCGCCGCGAGCCUCAACAUUCAUUGGACCACAAACAUCAGUAUGUAUGAUUUCCAACAAAUCAGUUGCUCGCUCCAUAGUUCCGGAGAACGGCGUUUUAGUCAUCUUGCCCAUGAGGCACGGUUCGCAAGUACCAAGUGAUUCAUAAUCAAGUGAUUCCAAAAGCCCAUCAGUAUGGAGUUUCUUCAUGCGCUUUACACCGAUAUGACCUAAAUGGCAGUGCCACAAAUAAGUUGCACUAUCAUUAUCAACUCUGUAUCUUUUGGUUUCAACACUAUGAAUAUGUGUAUCACUACUAUUGAGAUUCAAUAAAAAUAGACCACUCUUCAAGGGUGCAUGACCAUAAAAGAUAUUACUCAUAUAAAUAGAACAACCAUUAUUCUCUGACUUAAAUGAAUAACCGUCUCGCAACAAACAAGAUCCAGAUAUAAUGUUCAUGCUCAACGCUGCCACCAAAUAACAAUUAUUUAGGUCUAAAACUAAUCCCGAUGGUAGAUGUAGAGGUAGCGUGUCGACCGCGAUCACAUCGACUUUGGAACCAUUUCCCACGCGCAUCGUCACCUCGUCCUUAGCCAAUUUUCGCUUAAUCCGUAGUCCCCGUUUCGAGUUGCAAAUAUUAGCAACAGAACCAGUAUCAAAUACCCAGGUACUACUGCAAGUAUUAGUAAGGUACACAUCAAUAACAUGUAUAUCACAUAUACCUUUGUUCACUUUGCCAUCCUUCUUAUCCGCCAAAUAAUUGGGGCAGUUCCACUUCCAGUGUCCAGUCUGCUAGCAGUAGAAGCACUCAGUCUCAGGCUUAGGUCCAGACUUGGGUUUCUUCUCUUGAGUAGCAACUUGUUUGCUGUUCUUCUUGAAGUUCCCCUUCUUCUUCCCUUUGCCCUUUUUCUUGAAACUGGUGGUCUUGUUAACCAUCAACACUUGAUGCUCCUUCUUGAUUUCUACCUCCGCGGCUUUUAGCAUUGCGAAGAGCUCGGGAAUAGUCUUGUCCAUCCCUUGCAUAUUAUAGUUCAUCACGAAGCUCUUGUAGCUUGGUGGCAGUGAUUGAAGAAUUCCGUCAAUGACACUAUCAUCUAGAAGAUUAACUCCCAGUUGAAUCAAGUGAUUAUUACACCCAGACAUUUUGAGUAUGUGUUCACUGACAGAACUAUUCUCCUCCAUCUUGCAGCUAUAGAACUUAUUGGAGACUUCAUAUCUCUCAAUCCGGGCAUUUGCUUGAAAUAUUAACUUCAACUCCUGGAACAUCUCAUAUGCUCCAUGACGUUCAAAACAUCGUUGAAGACCCGGUUCUAAGCCGUAAAGCAUGGCACACUGAAUUAUCGAGUAGUCAUCAGCUUUGCUCUGCCAGACAUUCUUAACAUCGUCAGUUGCAUCACCAGCAGGCCUGGAACCCAGCGGUGCUUCCCGGACGUAAUUCUUCUGUGCAGCAAUGAGGAUAAUCCUCAGGUUACGGACCCAGUCCGUGUAAUUGCUACCAUCAUCUUUCAACUUUGCUUUCUCAAGGAACGCAUUAAAAUUCAACGGAACAACAGCACAAGCCAUCUAUCUACAACAAACAUAGACAAGCAAUAUACUAUCAGGUACUAAGUUCAUGAUAAAUUUAAGUUCAAUUAAUCAUAUUACUUAAGAACUCCCACUUAGGUAGACAUCCCUCUAAUCUUCUAAGUGAUUACGUGAUCCAUAUCAACUACACCAUGUCCAUCGUCACGUGAGAUGGAGUAGUUUCAACGGUGAACAUCAAUAUGUUGAUCAUAUCUACUAUAUGAUUCACGCUCGACCUUUCAGUCUCCGUGUUCCGAGGCCAUAUCUGUUAUAUGCUAGGCUUGUCAAGUUUAACUUGAGUAUUCCGCGUGUGCAACUGUUUUGCACCCGUUGUAUUUGAACGUAGAGCCUAUCACACCCGAUCAUCACGUGGUGUCUCAGCACGAAGAACUUUCGCAACAGUGCAUACUCAGGGAGAACACUUCUUGAUAAUUUAGUGAGAGAUCAUCUUAAAAUGCUACCGUCAAUCAAAGCAAGAUAAGAUGCAUAAAGGAUAAACAUCACAUGCAAUCAAUAUAAGUGAUAUGAUAUGGCCAUCAUCAUCUUGUGCUUGUGAUCUCCAUCUUCGAAGCACCGUCUUGAUCACCAUCAUCACCGGCGCGACACCUUGAUCUCCAUCGUAGCAUCGUUGUCGUUACGCCAUCUAUUGCUUCUACGACUAUCGCUACCGCUUAGUGAUAAAGUAAAGCAAUUACAGGGCAUUUGCAUUUCAUACAAUAAAGCGACAACCAUAUGGCUCCUGCCAGUUGCCGAUAACUUCGGUUACAAAACAUGAUCAUCUCAUACCAUAAAAUAUAGCAUCACGUCUUGACCAUAUCACAUCACAACAUGCCCUGCAAAAACAAGUUAGACGUCCUCUACUUUGUUGUUGCAAAUUUUACGUGGCUGCUACGGGCUUAGCAAGAACCGUUCUUACCUACGCAUCAAAUCCACAAUGAUAGUUCGUCAAGUUAAUGCUGUUUUAACCUUCGCAAGGACCGGGCGUAGCCACACUCGGUUCAGCUAAAGUGAGAGAGACAGACACCCGCCAGUCACCUUUAAGCACGAGUGCUCGUAACGGUGAAACCAGUCUCGCGUAAGCGUACGCGUAAUGUCAGUCCGGGCCGCUUCAUCUCACAAUACCGCUGAGCCAAAGUAUGACAUGCUGGUAAGCAGUAUGACUUGUAUCGCCCACAACUCACUUGUGUUCUACUCGUGCAUAUGACAUCUACGCAUAAAACCUGGCUCGGAUGCCACUGUUGGGGAACGUAGUAAUUUAAAAAAAAAUCCUACGCACACACAAGAUCAUGGUGAUGCAUAUCAACGAGAGGGGAGAGUAAUGUCCACGUACCCUCGUAGACCGAAAGUGGAAGCGUUAUGACAACGCGGUUGAUGUAGUCGUACGUCUUCACGAUCCGACCGAUCCAAGUACCGAACGUACGGCACCUCCAAUUCAGCACACGUUCAGCUCGAUGACGAUCCCCGGACUCCGAUCCAGCAAAGUGUCGGGGAUGAGUUCCGUUAGCACGACGGCGUGGUGACGAUGAUGAUGUUCUACCGGCGCAGGGCUUCGCCUAAACUCCGCGACGAUAUGACCGAGGUGGAAUAUGGUGGAGGGGGGCACCGCACACGGCUAAGGAACGAUCACGUAGAUCAACUUGUGUGUUCUAGGGUGCCCCCCCGCCCCCGUAUAUAAAGGAGCAAGGGGGGGUGCGGCCGGCCCUAGGAGGAGGCGCGCCGGAGGAGUCCUACUCCCACCAGGAGUAGGACUCCCCCCUUUCCCUAGUUUGGCUAGNNNNNNNNNNNNNNNNNNNNNNNNNNNNNNNNNNNNNNNNNNNNNNNNNNNNNNNNNNNNNNNNNNNNNNNNNNNNNNNNNNNNNNNNNNGGCCUCCUCUCCUCUUCCUCCAUUAGGCCCAAUAAGGCCCAUUAGGUCACCGGGGGGUUCCGGUAACCUCCCGGUACUCCGGUAAAAUGCCGAUUUCACCCGGAACACUUCCGAUGUCCAAACAUAGGCUUCCAAUAUAUCAAUAUUUAUGUCUCGACCAUUUCGAGACUCCUCGUCAUGUCCGUGAUCACAUCCAGGACUCCGAACAAACUUCGGUACAUCAAAACUUAUAAACUCAUAAUAAAACUGUCAUCGUAACGUUAAGCGUGCGGACCCUACGGGUUCGAGAACUAUGUAGACAUGACCUAGAACUAUUCUCGGUCAAUAACCAAUAGCGGAACCUGGAUGCUCAUAUUGGCUCCUACAUAUUCUACGAAGAUCUUUAUCGAUCAAACCGCAUAACAACAUACGUUGUUCCCUUUGUCAUCGGUAUGUUACUUGCCCGAGAUUCGAUCGUCGGUAUCCAAUACCUAGUUCAAUCUCGUUACCGGCAAGUCUCUUUACUCGUUACGUAAUGCAUCAUUCCGUAACUAACUCAUUAGCUACAUUGCUUGCAAGGCUUAUAGUGAUGUGCAUUACCGAGAGGGCCCAGAGAUACCUCUCCGACAAUCGGAGUGACAAAACCUAAUCUCGAAAUACGCCAACCCAACAUGUACCUUUGGAGACACCUGUAGUACUCCUUUAUAAUCACCCAGUUACAUUGUGACGUUUGGUAGCACCCAAAGUGUUCCUCCGGUAAACGGGAGUUGCAUAAUCUCAUAGUUACAGGAACAUGUAUAAGUCAUGAAGAAAGCAAUAGCAAUAUACUAAACGAUCAAGUGCUAGGCUAACGGAAUGGGUCAUGUCAAUCACAUCAUUCUCCUAAUGAUGUGAUCCCGUUGAUCAAAUGACAACACAUGUCUAUGGUUAGGAAACAUAACCAUCUUUGAUUAAUGAGCUAGUCAAGUAGAGGCAUACUAGUGACGUUAUGUUGGUCUAUGUAUUCACACAUGUAUUAUGUUUCGGUUAAUACAAUUCUAUCAUGAAUAAUAAACAUUUAUCAUGAUAUGAGAAAAUAAAUAAUAACUUUAUUAUUGCCUCUAGGGCAUAUUUCCUUCAUCGCCAUGGCAAGCGGAGGAUUGUAUUAGACGGCUCAACAGAAUGGAGCCUUUUCGGUGAAUAGCACUUAUCGUCUCAGCCUCUACGAGCGUUUCUUGCCAUCCUCAGUUGCAAUGAAAAGGGCACCAGAUGGGCGACAUGUCGGGCACUUAUAUGGAGGCGCCCUGCUCCACCCAAGAUGGAUAUAUUUGCAUGGAACUCGUUGGCCAGUUGGGCAAAUAAGAAAACCAGAACGUUGGAGAUCGUUGAUGUGUGCCCAUUAUGUGCGAUGGAGCGGGAGAACACACUCCAUGUUUUUUGCAGGUGAGCGGUGGAGCUCCGGCGAGACAUACAAAAACAUUCAAACCUGCUGGAUCUUGCAACUGUGCGUCCAACGGGGGUGGAGUGGCUCUUUGAUGUCUUGCAUAAUCUGAAUGAUGAUGACCGUAUACGUGUGCUAAUGGUUCCGUGGUGCUCCGCCCACAUAUGAACCGAAAUUGUCCACGACAAAAAGCCCCCCCCCCCUCCGGUCGAAGCUUCCUGCCGUUUCUUGCUCAGCUAUGAGGCGUCACUGGUCACCCUCAAGGUCAUGUAAGACAAUAUUAUAGUCAAUUAUUAAUACUAAUUGGGCGACACGAGGGUAACGCACGGGCACAAACUCAAACUCAUACCCUACUCACUAAUAGUCGGGUUACCCAUGGGCAUGGGCGUGACCCAUGGGCGGAGAGCACGGCCAAUAUCCUACCCAUUCGGUUCGGAUACCCAUGGGUCCAAUUGCUGGGUUGACAGGUGUUGCACCUCAACAGAUGUUACUGGUGCAUACCAACAUUCAAAAAAAAAACUUUUUUUGAGAGAGAAAAAAAAACGUUGUUACUGUACUGGGUGGUAAAACCGUAAAUCACUGGGGGAGGAAGUUGCGCGGAAGCUCGCGUGGGCGACGGGCAGUGCUCGGCAGAGCCCCUUCUUAGUGCGGGUGCAGCUUCAUGAGGGGUGGUGUCGUCGCCUUGCUUGGAAUGGCAAUGCGCGUAGCAACCACGCAGCGCUCCACCCUUUCCAAAUCGAUGCCGCGGCAAAGCAUCCGACGCGAGCUGCCUGCCAUACGUACAUUAAUACCAGAGGCCGAGCUCGCGCUGGUCCUUUCCUUGGUGACUCUCCUCGGCUCCUCCUCCUAGUCUCCACCACUGCCUUCCCGGAGCUGCCUGUUCCCAUGGCGCUCUCCCGCCGCAUUCUCCUCUUCGUCUCCCUCGUCGCCAUGACGGCGGUCACCGGCACCUCCGAGAUCAUCGUGACCCAGUGCUACCCGCCGCCCACGCCCACUGUCAACGGCAGCACCAGCGCGUUCCGCCGCGAUCUCCUCUCGCUACUCGACGCCCUCCCCUCGGCCGCCGCGCCGACGGGCUUCGCCUCCAUGCGGACCGGCGGCGCGUUCGCCCGCGGCCUCUGCUUCGGCGACCCCGCGCCAGACCCGUGCUUCCGCUGCCUGUCUGACGCCGGCAGGAAGAUCACCGACCUGUGCGGAGACGUCAACCGGCGCGCGGGCUUCCUGAUCGACGGCUGCUUCCCGGGCUACGCGGACACCAACGCGUCCUCCGCCGGCGCGGACGACAACGACAUCAGUGGCGUGACAUUCUCCGGCGACGCCCUCCGGCGCUUCGACAACGUCGACGUGCAGAAGCUCGUGGCCGUGGCGCGGUCCCUGGUCCCGCGGUCCGCGAACGGCCAGGUGGCCGCCGCCGACGCGACUGCCACGGCGAGCAACGGCGACACGGUGCGCAUGCUGGCACAGUGCGCGACGGACAGCGAGCCGGCGGAGUGCGCCCGGUGCCUGCAGGAUUCGUCGCUGCAGAUGGCCAAGAGCUGGAGGCUCACGCUCACCGCCGACGCCGUGCAAGGAAGCGUGGCCGCGGUUCUGGGCUCGAACUGCUACCUCCGCUUCGAGAUAUCGGCACCGCCGCUGCCCGUGAGAGAGAAGAGGACCAUGUUUAUCUUGAUACUCAUAUUAAAAUGGCCGUAUGCAUCCUUUGUUGGUGCAGAGGCUGGGAAGUGAAAAUCUCCCCAUUUUAAGCUAGCUGUGUUGAUCGUUCUUUCUCGACACAGAAGAUGGCGACCCCAGAGGCGACUCGAGAGACGCCCGCGGCGAACGUCGCUAGCCGGCGGCCGGAACCUGCGGAUCUGUCUGCGAGGCGUGUUGGGGGGCGGUUCUGGGUGCUCGCGGACUCGGAUGAAGAGGAGGACGACGACGGGGAUCCUGCGGGCAGAUCUCCGGCGGACUACUCGCCAACUCCUUUCGACGUGAUUUGCGAGGCUUUCAACACUGGAUACUCGGAGGAAGAAGUCGCCGCGUUGGUCGAUGAAACUGUGUCGGGCGAUGAUCCGGCGCGGAUUGGGCUGCGUUCUCAGGAUAGGGUGGAGGUGGUUCGCCGGAUUAUCCACCGGAGGACGGCGGCGACGGCGAUCCGGCCUUGGAAAGGGCCUCUACCUAAGGUAUGUAUCCAACCAGUUACUUUGUUCGAUUUCUUCCCGCAAGAUGAUUGGAGUCUCGUAGUGCGUAAGAAGAAGAAGAAGAGAGGGGCGGCGGCCGAGAUCAGGGCGGCCAGGAACGAUCGUUUGAAUCUCCUCCUGGGCCACGAAGGGGCCGUUGAGGAGUGGGCCGAUUGUCGGAUUGUGCAUGGGUAUGAGGCCCAUCAGGGGGGUGUUGAUGAGGGCCUGGUUGGACCGGACUCGACUGGGUAUGUGGCCCAGGAGAGCCGCGUCGUGCCCUCUCAGCCCGACGUGAUCUCAUGCACGUACGAGGAAAACUGUGUCCUUCUCGCUCGUGCGCCGCCGUGUUCUAGGGUUCGAAAGGCUGGGACGAAAGGUUUCCCUCCCUGUGGUGAUCGUCGGGCUCGGCGAAUCCGGCCGCUGCCAGGUAUGGCAGGCCGUGGGGAGGCUCCGCCGCCAGCCAAGCGGCCCUCUUCCGGCGCUGCGGGUCGGGGUGGAGCGGCCCCUCCGCCGGCGGCGGGUGCCGGACGUGGCGUCCUGGUGCAGCCUGGCCAAAGGCCGCCGGCGGCUGGGUCCGUCGCGAUUGGUUCCUCAGGCCGAGGCGCGUGCCCCGUGGGUGCGCGGCCUCCGGGACAAGCUCCCUUGCAGCCGGCCUCUGGGAGGGGAGGCAUGAGGCCGCCGGCGCUGGGCAUGGUGCCCACUGCCCAUGCUGCCGGUCGGGGUGGGGUGAGACCACCGGCGCCAGGUGCGGCGCCCUCCGUUCCCCAGGCUGCGGGUCGUGGAGGCCCUCGACCCCCCCGCGCCGGGGGCUUCUGGCGAGGUUACGGCUGGCCGCGGUGGCGGACCUCGGCCUGCUGGAGGCGUGCCGGCGACCACAGGCAAACCGCCGCCCCAUUACGUUGCUAGGCCGGCGCAGAACCGGUCCGGUCAGACUCAACAAAGAGCCCAACGAUCCGCCCCGAAACCAGUGGGGGGAUGAUGGGUAUGAUGCGUAUGGUGAAGGACAGCACCGAGGAUCCUCUUCUACGGGAGGAGGGCGUGGAUAUGCCUGGCAGAGUGACGGGUCGGCUGAGAGACCGUUUCUUGGCCCGGCAGGUGGUUUUGUUGAGGGGGCUUCCGGCCCGGAUCACCGUCAGAGAGGAGGCUUUCGUGGCCAUCGUGGUGGUCGGGGUGGGGGUCGUGGGCGAUUUCGCCGCCUGCCCCCGCCUAGGGAUGUUGGUCCUACAGCUGCGGCAGAGGAGUCUGAGCAUACUUCUUCUGAGCUUCCUUCACAGGCGAUGGAGGUGGUGAAUGCUCUCGCGAGUGUUCAGGUUCCUGAGGCUGGGAUGGUGGAUGAGGCUACUGACAGGUCUGAUGCCGAGAGGGCGUCCAAAUAUGCUCGUAAGAAGGAAAGGAUGAUUUGUUACCGUUGUGGUGAGAAGGGCCACUUCAUUGCUGAGUGUGUGGCCUAGCUGUGUGAGUCAUGUGGCAAGCUUGCACAUGACUCGGGGGAGUUCCCGUUAUUGCGUGACCUGCCUCCGACGCUGAAUAUUUAUGGAGUAUACUGUGCUGCGCUUAUGUUUUUUGAGUCCCCGGCGGCGAGAGAGGUCCCGGAGGAUACCCUGAGUUUGGCUACCGGGAUUGUGAGGGCGACCCAGGGCGAGGUGACUGAGGCACAGAUUGUGAGGAGGCUUCAGGAGCUGGCUCCCGGGGAUUUUAGAUGGGAUUUGGUGCUCAUCGAGGACAGGGUUUUUAAAGUUGAUUUCCCAUCUGUUGAUGACCUGCAGAGAUUAUUGAGCUUUGGCUUGUGUAAAGUUCCAGGGACUAAGUGUAUCCUGGAGUUCAACAAGUGGAAGCAGGUUGAGCCCAAAGGAAAGCCACUUACGCAGGUCUGGUUGCGGUUUAUAGGGGCUCCAUCUAAGCCUCUGCAGGAUGCUCGAGUGGUGGCCAGUUUAGGCAUCAUGGUUGGAAAGACAGAAAAAGUGGAUAUGGCUUUCACGCGUGCCCAUGGGGUUGCACGGCUUUUAGUUAGCGUUCUGGAUAUUGAGUUUGUGCCUGAUAAGGUCAACUGGACCUAUAAGGGAGAGGUGUUCCCGCUAGAGACCGAGUUUGAGGACACCGAUUUAUUUGCUGAUGCUGUUAAUGGUAAUGAUGUUGACAUGCACGACAGGGAUGGUAAUGCGGGGGCCAAGGGGCCACCAUCAGAUGAGCCCAAUCGAGAGGGGUCUAACGGUUCUCACCCACCUUCUCAGUCGCCUGGGGAGGGGACCGGGGUUGAGCCCGCAGCUUCACCAGCGGUGCCCAUGACUACUUUGCGUUUUGGGUCUUUUGAGCCAGCCUCGGCACCUCCCAGACUCUGGAGUGACCAGGUUGAGUCUGGUAAUUGUCUUGAGCACACGCUCCCUUCGUUGGAGUUCGAGGGGGAGGCUGGUUUGUCCGCUGGACGACAUGUGAGGACUUUGGUCGGCGCUAUGGAGAGGAGGCCGGAGGGUGCUUCUCUUGUUCUGGCGCCUCACGCGGACGCGACUGCAGAGUCGGCGACUGCAGUCGCGUUGGGUUGUGGGGGAGGGGGUUCGGGGCAGGUGGCCCCGUCUUCUCCCGUCCCCAUAACGAUCCCGGUGGCGUCGGUGACGCCGGCCCCGAGGGGGUCGGACGGUGCUGCGAGAGGGAGCCCGAGGCAGGAGGCCUCGGCUCCUGCUACUCCGUUGGUGGUAACCACGGAGGUUGCUGCUGCGUUAGGGGGGACGCCGGGGCAGGAGGCCCUGUCUCCUCCCUCUCCACCGACGGUCAGGAGGACCACCCCGCCGAUGGCUCUUUCGUCUGAGCCGGCGGCUGGGGUGGGAGGAGGGUGCGGGCAGGUGGUCCCCACUACACCCUCCUCGACACUACCUUUGGCAGGGGCCCCUGGUGUGGGGCACCUGUCUCAGGGGAUCGGGAACCCGCAGACGCCAUCUCUGGUAACUUCGGCACCACCUUUCAGGGAUUCAGUGCCAGGUUUUACUAGGGAGGAGGUUGUCGCGUUUGGUGGGAUCCCGGACCAUAUCUCCGAGGGGAGACGGAUGAGUGCUCGCAUCCUGGACAUCCCUGAGGUGGACGAUAUGCAGCAGCGGUGCACUAUGAGGGCGGCCAAGCUUUAGGAUGCUGCUUUAUCUUCUGGUAUGUCCGUCAACCUAUCUAAUUCCUUAUUGCAUUUUUCUAAUGAGGACAUUAUAAAUAAUGCAAACCAAUUAGGAGUUUCACUAGGUGCUACGGAUAGUGAGGUUACCAAUUCGAUGAAUGAUCUGUUAGAUUUGGAGGCGGAACGUGCUUUAGAGACUAUUCAUAAUCUUGCAGCAGUUAAACCAAUGAAUGAUGAUGAGAUUAAUGCGUUAGGGGUUAGAGUGCUCGAUAAUCUGUGUGAGGAUCUAGCACCCCCCAUUCAUGACGCUGAGGAAGAUGAUGCACCCCUAGAGAAUGAUGCUAGUCAUAUUUGUGAACCCGGUCAUGAGGACCGGGACACUGAGCUUAGUAAACCUAAGCGUAAGUGGAAACGGAAGAUUUAUCCCGAUUCCGCAGUUCGUAGGAGUGCUAGGAUUCGAACCACUAAAAAAUUCCAUGAUGAAAUAUGAGAGGAAUUUUUUGGAAUAGCAGAGGUCUGAAGGACUUGGCUAAAAGAAGAUUCUUGGAUGAGGCAGCUUUAGAGCAGAGGUUAGAUUUUAUUGCUCUAUCGGAGACGGGUAGAGAUAACUUCGCACCACAGUUUCUGUCCUCUCUUGUGGGUGGUAUUGAUUUCGAUUGGUACUGCCUCCCUCCACGAGGAAGAUCGGGUGGUAUCUUACUAGGUGUGAGAUGCGAUUCGCUUGAAGUCCGAAGUGUAGUGAUGGGUGACUUCACGGUGAAGUUUCGAGUUAGGUCUAGGAUAGAUGGUUUUAACUGGGCUUUGGUGGCGGUCUAUGGUGCCGCACAGCCCGAGCUUAAAGGGGAAUUUCUAGCGGACCUUGUUCGAAUCUGUGGGUCUGAACAACUGCCAAUUUUAGUUGGAGGUGAUUUCAAUAUCAUCAGGAGGAGAGAGGAGAAGAACAAUGAUAACUUUGAUGGCAGAUGGUCUUUCAUGUUCAACACCAUUACUGAAAGCUUGGAUCUGAGAGAGAUAGAGCUUUCUGGUCGAAAGUUUACCUGGGCUAAUGCUCUGCCAAACCCAACCUAUGAAAAACUUGAUCGAGUUCUUGCGAGCGUGGAGUGGGAACAAAAGUUCCCUCUGGUUACGGUGCAAGCUCUUUCGAGGGGAAUAUCUGAUCAUACCCCAUUGUUUGUGGACUCAGGGGAGCCGAACCACGUGGGUAACAAGAACACAUUCUCCUUCGAGAUGUCAUGGUUUGAACGCGAGGGGUUCUUGGACUUGAUUGCCAGGGAAUGGGUUAAAGGUGUAGGAGGCAAAACUGCGAUUGAGCGUUGGCAGAAUAAGAUUAGGCAUUUGAGAAGCUUCUUACGGGGCUGGGCUAAGCACCUCAGUGGUGAGUAUAAGAUUGAAAAGGAUAGACUCCUUAUUCUUAUACAGGACCUGGACAUACAGGCCGAAUCCCAUACUUUAUCACCAGAGCUUUAGGUUAAAAAUGAGGCGGAGAAGAGGUUAAAAGAAUUGCUCUGCGAAGAAGAACUGAAGUGGGCUUUGCGUGCUAAAGUCCGAAAAGUGGUCCAGGGGGAUGCGAAUACUCAGUUCUUCCAUUUGAUUGCUAAUGGCAAACACAGAAAGAAGUGUAUCUUUCAGCUUGAGCAAGACGAGGGCACUAUUUUAGGUCAGGAUAACCUAAAAACAUAUAUUACCGACUAUUAUAAGUAGUUAUUUGGACCUCCGGAGGAUAAUAGUGUGUCCCUCGAUGAGUCCAGGACUGAGGAUGUACCUCAGUUAUCGGCUGCCGAUAAUGAUAUUCUGGUUGCCCCGUUCUCGGAGAAGGAGGUGUUUGAUGCCAUUACACAGAUGAAAAACAAUAAGGCUCCUGGACCGGAUGGAUUCCCGGCAGAGUUCUAUAAAAAGUGCUGGCACAUUAUUAAGGGGGAUUUACUACCUAUGUUCCAUGAUCUGUUCUCUGGACAGCUUCAAUUAUUUCAAUUGAAUUUUGGGACUAUCACACUGCUUCCUAAGAAGACAGAUGCGGUGAGAAUUGAGCAAUUCAGGCCGAUCUGUCUCCUCAAUGUUAGUUUCAAAAUUUUCACCAAGGUCGGGACUAACAGACUCACACAGAUUGCGCAUUCUGUGGUGCAACAGUCCCAAACCGCUUUCAUGCCGGACAGAAAUAUCCUUGAAGUGGUGGUAGUCCUGCAUGAAACGCUCCAUGAAAUUCAUUCCAAAAAAUUAGAUGGAGUGAUUUUUAAGUGGAUUUCGAGAAAGCGUAUGAUAAGGUCAAAUGGCCAUUCCUCCAACAGUCAUUGCGUAUGAAAGGUUUUGAUGAAGCCUGGCGCCGACAGGUUGAAUCAUUUACGCAAAAAGGUAGUGUGGGAAUUAGAGUUAACGAUGACAUAGGUCACUAUUUCCAGACACAUAAAGGCCUAAGACAAGGAGAUCCGAUGUCCCCUAUCUUGUUUAACAUUGUGGUGGAUAUGUUAGCAAUUUUGAUAGGAAGGGCUAAGGAAAGUGGUCAAGUCGGUGGAUUGGUACCUCAUCUUAUUGAUGGAGGUGUUUCCAUCCUUCAGUACGCUGAUGAUACGAUCAUCUUUAUGGAGCAUGACUUGGCCAGGGCGAGAAAUAUGAAGCUGGUGUUAUGCCUAUUUGAACAAUUGACCGGGUUAAAGAUCAACUUUCAUAAGAGCGAGCUGUUCUGUUUUGGUAGGGCGAAAGAUGAACAGGAGGCUUAUAGGCAAUUGUUUGGAUGUGAGUUGGGAGAGUUACCCUUCUCUUACUUGGGGAUUCCUAUCCACCAUCGUAGGCUGACAAACAGAGAAUGGAAGUGCAUCGAGGACCGAUUUGAGAAGAAAAUGAGCUGCUGGAAGGGUAAACUCAUGUCAUACGGAGGCCGAUUAAUCCUAAUUAAUUCGGUGCUCACGAGUAUGCCAAUGUUUCUUCUAUCGUUCUUUGAGGUACCAGUUGGGGUUAGGAAGAGACUGGACUUCUAUCGAUCGCGCUUCUUUUGGUAGGGUGAUGAGCUUAAAAGAAAAUAUCGGCUUGCUAAAUGGGAUAUCAUUUGUAGACCGAAAGACCAAGGGGGUCUCGGGAUUGAGAAUCUCGAAGUUAAGAAUGAAUGUCUUCUUAGCAAGUGGCUGUGGAAGCUCUCUUCGGAGAAUGAUGCUAUGUGGGCUCAAAUCCUUCGCAGCAAGUACCUCCAGACAAAAACUUUGUCCCAGGUUACAGUCCGGCCGACUGACUCGCCCUUCUGGAAAGGCCUUAUGAAAGUCAAACAGGCAUUGUUUAAUAGGAUGAAUUUUUUUAUUGGAAACGGCACGAGUACAUGUUUCUGGGAGGAUACUUGGCUCGGUGAGACACCCUUGGCCAUCCAAUACCCGUCUUUGUACCGCAUCGUUCAACGACGUGAGGUGUUCGUUGCAUCGGUCUUUCAAUCUACCCCCCUUAAUAUUCAGUUCCGUCGAUCGCUAGCGGGCAAUCGUUGGGAAGAAUGGCUCCGUCUAGUUACGAGACUGAUGGAAGUCCAGCUUUCUCAACAACCCGAUGAAUUAUGCUGGAAGUUGACUAAGUCUGGAGCAUUUACGGUAAAAUCAAUGUAUAUUGAUGUUAUUAAUUCGAACUCCAUUCCUACGUCCAAGCAUGUUUGGGAUGUCAAAGUUCCUCUGAAAAUAAAAGUGUUUAUGUGGUUUGUCCAUAAACAAGUUAUUUUAACUAAGGACAACUUGAUAAAGCGUAAUUGGACAUGACCUACUAGGUGUAGUUUCUGCGAUCGGGAUGAGACUAUCAAACACCUCUUUUUUGAUUGCCUGCUGGCCAAGGUACUUUGGCAGACGGUCCACAUUGCUUUUAAUAUCAACCCACCGAAUUCUGUUAAUGCGUUAUUUGGGACAUGGCUUAAUGGGAUUGAGCCUGACUUAGCGAGACAUAUUCGGGUUGGAGUUUGUGCUUUACUGUGGACUAUCUGGAAUUGCAGAAAUGAUUUGGUCUUUAACAGAAUAUCAUGUAUACAUUUUUUGCAGGUUCUAUUCCCAGCUACGACACUGAUCCGUUCGUGGUCGCUACUAACCCAGACGGAGGCCAGGGAGCAUUUGGUUACUGGGUCUUUCCGCUGGGAGAUGGUAGCUCGGGAUAUCUUCAACCGGUUUGGAUGGCGCUCAUGUAAUAGGAUAGGCAUUUAGUAUCCCUAUCUAGUUUUAGCCAGCCGGUUGUGGCAUCUUUUCUUGGCUAGUUGAUGUUUCUAGCCCUCUCUGGCUCUGUGUGAGCUUUUUGUGCUUUUUUAGUACUUUAUGAGACUUUUGGGACCAUGUUCGCACUACUUUAUUUGGUUAAUAAGAUGGCCGUAUGCAUCUUUCUGAUGCAGAGGUCGGGGAAUCCCCCUUUUCAAAAAAAUUGCUACAUAACUCCGGCCGGUAGAUCUCAUGGUGAAUCUAUCUCUAACUUGUGAUGCGCUGCGCUGCAGGGAGGUUCGUAAAGGAUAACAUCGUCCUGACUGUGUGCAUUGGCUUCAUCGUCACGGCGGCGAUCGUCAGGCUGGUAGUUCAUGUCUGCUGCUGCUGUUGCUGCUGCUGACUGGCUCGGGAAUGCUGCUGGUGCACCAGGUAUGUACUAUGUACUACCUAGGUUUCCGCCUGGUUGUUGAGAAAUAUACAUCCGCAAUCUUAACACAACUAUCUUCAUCUCCAGCGGCGGAAGGGAAGCCAUGAUCUGACCGGGUUAAGAAGGAAGAAGACCGAAUAAAAGCAAGGAGCCAUCUACAGGACAUGAGAGGGCGCUGGCUGGCUCGGGCGUUACCAACUUCCUGCACGAGCACAUAGCUAGCUAGGGUCGUGUUCCCGUUCCUAUUAAUUUGGAUGCUUGGUACUCCAUUUUACUACUGCUCUGUUCCGUGAUCUCCCACUAAUCUUCUUCGUGAUUGUGGAGCCCGGUCGUUUGGCGUGAUCCUAUGUGUGUGUGGAAACCUAAUGCUGAUCUUUAUAAGAUCUUUAGCAGAUGUUGAUCUCUUCUCUGUAGUUGCCUACCUAGCUAGCUAGCUC